rnacentral:lncRNA from 1 species
CUUUCAUAGGUAUCGGCCUCUGCCGAUGUGACGACGUAAGAAGAAUCUCCUGGGACAAUCUCAAUCUUGUCACCUACCCACUGGACCAAGCACUGGUGCAUUGUAGACGGGAUGCAACAAUUGGCAUGAAUCCAAUCUCUUCCCAACAGCAAGUUAUAUGCACCCUUUCCACUGAUCACAAAGAAGGUUGUCGGCAAGGUUUUGCUGCCGAUGGUCAACUCAACGUAUAUUGCUCCCUUGACCGGAGACACGUUUUCUUCAAAGUCUUUAAGCAUCAUAUCGGUCUUGGUCAAAUCCUGAUCUCCUCUCCCAAGCUUCCGAUAUACUGCAUACUGCAUGAUAUUGAUAGCCGCUCUACCAUAAACUAAAAUCUUGGUCAUCGGCUGACCGUCAACUCUUCUCUUGACAAACAAAGCCUUAAGAUGUUGCCUUUCACCGUCGGCAGGCUUUUCAAAGAUGGCUGUCAUUGGAUCCAGAGCCAACUGAGCUAUCUGGUCGGAGAACUCCAACUCAUCAUCACUGGAUGGCGCAAGGAACUCCAUCGGUAACAUAAAUACCAUAUUGACAUCUGCCGAUGGCCCUUUCCCCUUAGGAUCUGCUUGUUGAUGAUCCCUAGACUGGCCAGAGUUCUCACCCUUGCUUAACUCUUCUCGCCUUUCGCACUGCAGCCUUCUCUUUUGUGUCCUGGUCAACCCAUCUGGACACCAUGGAGGGAGUUGCUGCUGCCUUACCGAUGGGCGAUGAUAUUCUCUUGACUCCAUCCGAUAAGUAUUGGCAUCCCUGCAGAAGAUGAACUCAUCGGGAACCCGUGCAUUAGCCAUCUCUUCAAGUUCUUCCUGGUUACUGGGAAAAUACCCAACACGAUCGCUGAGCCUGUCGUGCACACUGAGCCUGCCUCCCAGCCGAUCAUGAACGGACGCUCUCCCCCUAAUCGGCCCAUUAAAUCGCCGAUUAUCCUCGCGAUAGCGCCUAUAGGAUCUGUCGUACCGAUCAUAACCGUUGCACUCAGGACAAUCUCUGACAGUAGGAAGCUUGAUAUUCUCCUCCCAACAAUGUAUGAAGAAUGGACAAUUCCAGUGAUCCCUAUGCCGAUUCCACUCUUGUCGGCGUCUUUCUUCUUCCCGACAAUAAUCUUCCUGCUGGCGCCGAUACCGAUCCUCACGUUGCUGCCAAGUUUCCCGAGGCCUUCUGUGAGUUAUCACGAUACCAGAUCGGGGAGGCCUUCCUGAAUUAUUUCCCUCCUGGAUCAGACCUUUUCCUUUCGCAUCGGCAGUAGUGAUCUGAUGCUGAGGAUCCAUCGAUGCAAUUCUUUCAGCUGCUUCCGAUGUUAAGACCUUGGCCUUUUCCUUAGCAUCCAGCAUGUUUAUUGGGAAAGAAUGUUGAGCAAUCUUCAUCGGCUUCUGAGCUUUGGAGCUGUCAAAUUUGAUCCUCCCAGAUUCUAUAGCCGAUUGGAGCUGUUGUCUAAAAACUUUGCACUGAUUGGUGCUGUGAGAAGUUGCAUUGUGCCAUUUAAAAUAUUUCAUCUUCUUCAACUCCUCAGCCGAUGGGAUUACAUGAUUUGGUGAUAAUUUGAUCUGACCUUCCUGAAGUAGAAAGUCAAAUAUCCUAUCGGCCUUAGUGAUGUCAAAUGCGAACUUUUCUGGUUCCUUGUGCCCGAAAGGACAAGACAUCGGCUUCUUAUUUUUCACCCAUUCUGCCAAGCCGAUGACUGGUUCCUCAUCAGAAUCUGAGCUUGUUGCUUCAUUAACAAACGAUACCUUUUUGUUCUAUGCUCUCUUGGGCUCAAAAGGCUUGAUAUCUUGAUCAGAAAUUCUCUGCACCAAAUGACUUAAGCUUUCAAACUCUUGAGAUGCAUACUUAUCCCUGAUAUGUGGCAAUAAACCCUGGAAAGCCAAAUCGGCUAACUGCCAAUCAUCCAGAACCAGGCUAUAGCAUUUGUUCUUGACUUCUCGUAUCCUCUGCACAAAACUUUCAACCGAUUCGUCAUUGCGUUGCUUUAAUUUAACCAAAUCGGUGAUCUUCUUCUCAUGGACCCUAGAAAAGAAGUAUUUGUGGAAUUGUUUUUCCAAAUCGGCCCAAGUAACCACUGAGUUGGGAGGUAAUGAUAUAAACCAAGUGAAAGCCGAUCCAGACAACGAGGACGAGAAUAAGCGAACCCUUAGUUCAUCCCUAUUAGCAGCUUCCCCGCAUUGGAUGAUAAACCUGUUGACGUGCUCCAUGGUUGACGUGUCAUCCUUUCUAGAAAACUUGGUAAAAUCCGGCACUUUGCACCGAUUUGGAAGCGGGAUUAAAUCAUAUACAGGAGGAUACGGUGUUCGAUAAGAGUAAGUGUUGACUUUGGGCUUUAUCCCAAAUUGGUCUCUCAUUACUUCAGCAAUCUUAUCGGCCCAAUAAGCAUCGGCAUCUUGCCGAUGAGGCGGUUGCGGAUCUGGCAUCUGCUGGUAAGUUUCCACGUGUUUGUGUGGUGUACGAUCUGCAUGGAACAUCGGGUUAAUCAUUUGUCCACCCAUCUGCUGACCGCCAACCUGUUGUCCUCCGAUCUGCUAUCCGCCGAUCUGCUGCCCGCCGAUCUGCUGUCCGAGAUUCAUCGGCUGAUUGGGCAACCCUUGGUUCUGGAAUCCGAGAUAGAUCUGGCCAUGUUGAAACCCUGUAGUCUGAUGAUUCUGUUGGGGCAUUUGUGGAAAAAUUUAUUGUCCAAGCCAUCCACUAUUAGCAUUCAUCGGCAUAGGCCCUGGCUGAGUCAUAAGCCUCUGUUGCAUAAGCAUUGAGUCUGCCGAUGCGUUAGGCAUCUGGAACGUUGGAGCUUGAGAAUUCCCAAUGUAAGGUCUUGCAGUGGUGGUUGUAGUAUACUGGGGACUCUGAUUCAUCGGCAUAUUUGGGGGUGCCGAUGCCAUAGGAGCCUUGCCUCUCAUAUCAGUUGCCUGAGAUGUGCCAGGUGUCUUCAAGUAUUCCGGGGGCAUACCAAAACCCCACCAGUUAGGAGGAGGGACUGGUCCUGACAUCGCUGAUGCUAAUAGAUCUGUAGUGAGCUUAAUCUGCUCAUUUGAAGUCGGUGGAUUAGUUGUCAUCGGCGUAGAUUGUGCAUUAGUGACUCCCAACGUGCUUGGAGGAACGGUAGUCUGUGUACCCGCAGCGGCUGUAGCAGUCGAUGGAGCUGUGACCACCAGCGAUCCUGGCUGAUGAUGAGAGGGGCCCACAUAAUCUGGUGGCAAUUGUCCUUCCUUGAAAGUUCUAGCCACGGCAUUGAAAACCGUAUUAGACAGCACACCAGCUUGGUUGAUCAAGGCACGGUUGAUAGCACUAUCGACCAUCUCUUGAAGUUUACCAGGAUUGGCUUCAAAAGUAACCUGCCGAGGCAUCGGCAGCGCAUCCUUCUGGAUCACUUCGCCGCUCCUGUUCAUGCUGAAGGACCUCAGGCAUUGCUGCUUGUAAUCCUCCAUGGCUUUAGCAAUAGCUUGCUUCUGCUCAUCCUUGAGGUUGGCCUCCGUCACGGGGAUGACGUUUUCUUGAUCAAACUCAGUAGUCGACAUAUUGAUCUUGAUCUUGAAUCUGGUCCCACUGGGCGUGCCAAAAGAUGUGUUGAUGCAAAAGCUGAUCUGCAAACACAAAGGGCUAAUACCCGAUUUAAACGUUAAGGCGUGCCAGCCGAUUUGACCUUACUAUCGGCAAAGGUGAUAACUCGAAUACUUUGGUCCCGACAACAGCGAUGCGCCCGGAUGCCACGGCCAAGAUGUAUUCACGCGGAACUCGAGAAUACGCCGAGCUUAAGUCGACGAACUCCUAAGAACUCGUAAUGAAAAGGAAAAUAUGACGAAGUCGUCGAAAAAGUAAAUGCUAGAAUAUGAAUAGAAACUUGUGUUUGAUUGACAGAUAGAUGUCUCGAUUACAAGGCCCUAGGGUCUACAUUUAUACCCUGCUCAAAGAGCUACAACCAAACACGACUAGAAUUCGAAUUCCAAAUUUAAACAGAAUCCGUGUACAAAAUGAUUUAAAUAACUAAGGAAAACAUAAAACUAUCCUGCCGCGACAAGCUAGGACACCACCAUGGACCAAUUGGCAACCUCCAAAUCUUCCUUCCACGUCAUCGGCAGACUCCCCAUCGGCAACGAUCAAUACUGGCCAUCGGCAUAAACACAUCACCACCUAUGGACUCAGCCACAUCUAGCUGUCUCCUCAUCGGCAACCACCCUUAUCGGCAACUUUCCUGCAGACCAAUCACUACUGCCUUUUCUUGCCGAUCCACACUCUACCGAUCCUGGGUACGUGUCCAAAAACGGUGCCAACAGUGGCCAAGCAAAGACUUCCAACAAGCAAAUCAAGAACAUUCUUCAGAAGACAGUAAAUGAAAUGGGAACGGCAUGGAAAGACAAGUUACCCGAUGCACUCUGGGCAUACCGGACAGCAUACCAGACCCUAAUUGGAAUGUCCCCAUACCAAUUGGUGUACGGGAAGACUUGCCACCUACCUGUUGAACUAGAGUUCGAAGCACACUGGGCCAUAAGAAGAUGGAAUAUGGACCUAGAUGUCACUGAAGAUCAUAGAAGAAUGCAACUAUCAGAAUUGGAAGAAUGGCGAGAGAAAGCAUAUCACAAUUCGAAGAUCUAUAAAGAAAGAGUCAAAAGGUGGCAUGACAAGAGGAUCAAGAAGGAGUUCACACCCGGAGAUAAGGUAUUACUUUUUAAUUCCAGGGUGAAGCUUUUCGGGCAUGGAAAACUCUGGAGUAAAUGGGAAGGACCAUUCAAGGUAAUCAAUUCAUCAUCCCACGGAGCUAUCACACUUCAAAAUGAUGAAGGUACAUUAUUCAAGGUAAAUGGUCAACGUCUUAAAUUAUUUUUAGAGCCCAAUAAAGAAUUAGAAGAAAUAGACGUAAUCCACUUUUACCUUCCCAUGGAGAAUUAGAGCCCGACCUCUUUAAUCUGACAUUUUAGGGUCAUACAUAUAUUUUCCUAAUAAGUUUUGCAUCUAGAAACACGCUCGAGGAAGUAGGCCCACAGAGGGGCCAGACACAGGGCAGGCGCCCUAAUCAAGUGGGCGGGCGCCCAGCUCCUGCCCCCUCUCGGUCCCGAUUUCCUCCGUUAUGGAAAACACAGUUAUGGUAAUCCGAAUAAUCCCUCAGAUGGAAAGUUUCGCACGCACGUCGACGGGAGAAACCCAAACAACCCCUAGAGGCACUUUUUGACCCCUAUAUAAACAGACCCCUGACGUCAGUUUUCAAACACCAAUCCACCCAAGCCUUCUCAUCUUCUUCAAUUAGAGCUUGUUUAGUCCCUCACUUCUCCAAUGGCCAACAAGUUCCACGAUGAUUGGGAAGUCGUCCCCUUCAACCUCAACAUGAAGCCGGAGGAAGACCCCGACGCCCGUGCUCUCGUCCCAGCCAACACAUAGCGACAGCUAGAAGCCAUGCCAUUACGCCAGCGCAGCUCCCCCAAUCUUACCAUGCUCAACCAGUUCUCACCGCACCGCCACAACCCCUACUUCUCAAGGGAUCAUCAUCCAAGAAGGAGACCACUAUCAAGGUUCCAGCCGGCACGAGGAUCCUUCCACCUAGACCCAAGGAGAGGGUCGUUGGAGUCAAGACCAACCGGAGCGGCGAGAUCAGCAGCAUUCGCUAUACUAUGGAGGAAGAGAGACCUUACUUUGAAGGGAUUAGAGCAGCCAAAGUCCGUUUCAUCCCUCCAAAGGCAGCCCCGAAGCACGCUCUCAAUGCUUUCGAGAAACCUCCUAAGCGUCGCAAGACUAUAGUGGAUAUUGAUGAGGACGUUUGCAGGCUAGACAGAGUCAUCAUAGACCUCCAGUCCUCGGUUAACUCCAUCACUAGGCAGCUCUCUAACCACAACACUGUGAUACUAGGCCUUAGGCAUGAUCUUGCUAGUGCCAAUAAGAAGAUCAAGGAGUUAGAGCGCCGCUAAGUUAUCUAGAUUAGAUUUUGAGGCAAUGCAUCUUAGUUAUCUAUCUUUAAUUUCGGUUUAGAUUUACUAUUAUCAUCAGUUUGCUACUAGUCAUUUGUAAUAAAUGCCUCAAGAUUAAUAAAGAGUAUUAUUACUAUUAUUAUUAUGUCUUGUGUGUCUCUACUUUAUUUUUGUGCAAGAAAGCAGAAAACAAGUAUGGGGGAGAUCCCUCGACACGCCAAACACACUUCAACUACACCACUCCACGAUUCAGGUACACACUCUGCACACUUUACUAUUACACAUACAUAUAUCUUGGAUUAUGCAGAAUAUUAUUUCCGACAUGAUAAAUUAAAAAGAUUAAAAUGCUUCUAAUCAUGAUCAAUCUCACUCUGUGAUAUUUCCUGAAAACUUACAAAAUCAUUCUAAAACCCUGUGUUACUUAAGUCAUUAUGGAAUGAUAGAGUGUGAGUACCUUAUUCUUGAUAUCAUUGUUGCUUGGAGAAUUUAUUUCAAAAUCUUCAAAAAAUUCUAGCUACCAUCCUCAGUGUUUUAUAUGCCUGAUAAACCUGAAAAUAUUAACAUGAAUAUUAGAAAAGCUAUCUGCUCUGUAUUGAGUUUGUUCAAAAUGAGUUAGACCCUUGUUGAGAGAUUUAUCAAGCUCCUAAGAUCAAGACAUUUAUUCAGAAAGAUUCACUCUUCUGAAGUAUUAUUGCAUUAGAGGCAUGGGCUAUGCAAAAAUAUGAAUAAUUCGAGGAAAUAAAAAGGAGCAAGUGCUCAACAACCUCGCAGAGAAAAAAUGGACAAGUGUCCGGCAGUAAAAUUAGGGGUACCUCGGUAUCCACUUAAAAAAGAGAAAAGAAAGAAAAUGAUAGCCCAUGGUCCUUCUAAUAAGCAAUAUGCUAGCAAGAGUUGACAAGUUUUUAAUUUUCAAAGUCUUUGAUCUAAGAGUAUGACAUUCCCCUCCUCGGAUCCUGUUUUGAUCAGGCAAUAAAUGCAAAGUAAAUAUGCUUGAGAAUUCUUUGCUUAUUAAAACAGCCUCAGUGAGAUAUACAAAAGAUAAUGAGUGACCUGAGAGAACCUAUGAGGAUAAAGGUAUGCAACAUUUCUUUUCAAAAACAUACAAAAACUCCAAUUGACAGGAUUGAGAAGAAAGGAUCUCUACUCUUAACCAUAUAUGUCCCUGACUACAGUACACAGUGGAUUUUAAACACCCUGCAGGUAUGAAGAGAGUGCUUUAUAAUGUUUUAACCCCAGAUAUUUUUCUUAACCAUCCUUUUCUCGAGGACGACUAAAAGCCUAAGUAUGGGGGUAUUUGUUGACGGUUCUUAAGUAUCAAUUUUAAUUAUCAAAUAAACAAGAGAAAGGACCAUUAUGCAAACAACACCAAGAAUUAGGAUUUGAUCUGACAGAAUUCUACAAGUUUUGUUGUUUAUCUGUUUCUAUAGGGCGUUAUCAGGAAAUAAGGAAGAAAGGCCCACAUGUCGGGAUUACAUAGAGAUAUCAAUGCACCGCGCAAUUUUCUACCAUCUAGAAGACUCCAGAAGCCACAAGAACGAAGCGGAGGCCGAACGGGGCCUGGCCCAGGGCGCCCGCCCUGAGGACCAGGGCGCCUGCCCCCUGCUAGACUCCAAUCAGGACUCUCUUCGUAGACCACGCUCCACCGACCUAAAGGAUCAAGGAUAACUAUCCAAUCAAUGUCGGUUUGAUCCAACGGCUCACGUUCACUUGAGGGGACUAUAAAACCAGACCCCCUAGCCCCUGGAGGAGACAAGUUCAUCAUAGAGUUGAGAGGAGCCCUCGAAGGAAUCCCUCUCCUCUAAAUAAAAUUUCUUUUGGCGUAGCUGUUGACGGUCCUUAAGUAUCAAAUUUAAUUAUCAAAUAAACAAAGAAAAGGAUCCAAAUGAAAUCAACAUCUAGACUUAGGGUUUUAUCUGACAGAAUUCCAUGAGUUUUGGUGUUUGUCUAUUUCUGCAGGGGGUUAUCAGGAAAUAUGGAAGAAAGGCCCACAUGUCGGGAUUACGUAAAGAUAUUAACGUGCCGCGCAAUUAUCUUACAUUUAGAAGACUCCAGAAGCCACGAGACCGAAGCGGAGGCGAAACGGGGCCUGACCCUGGGCGCCCGCCCAGUUGAUUAGGGCGCCCGCCCACCUCCUGAGUCCAAUCAGGACUCUGCUUUGCGGGAGAUUUCCACCGACCUAAAGGAUGAAUCUAAACCAUACAAUCUAUGUCGGUUUGAUCCAACGGCCCGUAUUCACUUGAAGGGACUAUAAAACCAGACCCCCUGGCCCCUGGAGGAGAGAGCCUCUCAACCCUAAUUCAUUGUUCCAUCAAGGGAGAAGAAGCCUCUGAUCAAGAUUAGAGCCACCACAUCAAUUAGAUAUCUAGAUUAGCAUAGCUACAUAGGAUUAGAACUAGAAGGAGUCAAUCUUCGAUUGGUUUCCGGAUCUGUCAAGAGGAUUCUUGGUAAUUCUCUAAUUGUUCUUCUAAUUAUCUUUGUUCUUCAAUAUUAUGAAUAUGACUUUGUUCUACUUCAAUAUAUUUCUUAUGACUUUGCUCUACUUGCUUAUAUUCAAGAUUAUAUUGUUCUUAGUUUAUCAUAGUUAUGUACUUGGCUUAGUUAGAUUGGAUCUAUAUACAUGCUUAGGAUCGUAUAGCGUUUAUCCAUCGGAUCCAUGGGUAAAUGAUAGAUAUUGUGUAGGCGUGGUGCUUAUACCGUAUUUAUCUGCGAUUGUACCCAAUAUGCCAGAUCGUGGGGUGGUUCGUGAUAGUGACAGCUUCAUUGAUUUUUAUAUAGUCCCCCUCUCGUGUAUUGGGCUGGCAGAGCAAUAUUAUUACAGGGGAGUGAUUGCUAUGUUUCUCAUUUACCUUGCUAAUAUCACUAUGCAUGGGCGUAGUCUUGUCUCGCAAUGAUUGCUAAGUAUGCUUGCACUAACUAUGAUAUGCUAGACUAUAUAGUUAAGAAUAACUUAGGGAAUAUUCUUGUAGUUCGUUCUAAUACCAUGCUAAUGACUUUCUAGAGUAUCUAAUUGAGGUGUUUAUCAUAUUUAUUAUGUGGCUAGAUCAGAUUAGUUAUCCUUGUCACUAUUAUUAUUUCAUAUAUCUUUUAUGUGACACUUAUCCCUGUAUGAAGAGUUAGAUAUAAUGUUCUCAAUUAUACAUGCAAUGAUAGAUGCUCAAUCUCAUAUUCUAUUCUGUAAUCAAUAGUGAUGAUUGCUAAUCCCUUCCCAGUGGUAAAAAUAUAAAUAACGAUACCUGGAAUACUUCCCGGUUAAAAUGCUACAUCGGUAUUAAUCUGUGCGCUCGCAGAUCCCAUUUAUUAUUUAUUUAGAAGAGCAAUUGCAUAUUUCAAUACCGUGUCUCUCAUGUCAUGCUGGGGAUGACAACUUGGCUUAAGUGGUGUGAGGGAUAGGUUUGGCAUUUUUGGCACCGUUACUAGAUUUAGAGAACUUAGUCUACUUUUGGUAAUGAUGUAAAGAAUACCCAACAAGCAUUUUUGGCGCCGUUGCCGGGGAAGGUAGAUUACUAAUCAGGAAUGGAAUAAAAGAUUUUGAGUUAUCAUUCGCAUCACUAAUAUGAUUGAGCUUAUCUAUUCUCUCAUACAGUUUUACCCCGAUAUUUUUCUAUUUUAUCUUAUGCAGGGGAAUGUAUGAAUAGAAGACAUCUUCCAGGAAAUUUUGUUGACAAUCCCGAAGCAUUAUUCAAGAAGACGAGAGCCAAGAAGAAAUCAUCAACACUUCACGAAGAAGCUUCAUCCAAUCAAGAAGAUCACCGGAACUUGUCUUCAGAGUUCGAAGCCAUGGCGAACAAAUCAAUCCGCGAGUUCUCAGCUCCCACUAUGGAUAACAUCCGCACUGGACCUGCUGUAGAGAUCGACGGCAACUUUGAGCUCAAGCCUGGACUUAUCAACAUGGUGCAAUCCAACCAGUUCUGUGGGAAGGCACACGAAGAUGCUAGUGCUCAUUUACAACACUUCCUGGAGAUUUGCAACACAUUCACCAUAUCAGGAGUUUCUAAAGAUGCUAUACUACUUCGCCUCUUCCCAUUCUCACUGUUAGGAAGAGCGAAGCAGUGGUUCUACGCUACAAAGGAGAAGAAUACUACGUGGGCACUCUGCUCAACAAACUUCCUGGCUAAGUUCUUUCCCAUGGGCAAGACCAAUGCUCUCCGUGGGAAGAUUACAAGUUUUCAGCAACAAAAUGAUGAAUCUGUUCCAGAAGCAUGGGAGCGCUUUCAAGACUACAUCCUAGAAUGUCCCCAUCAUGGAAUGGAGAGUUGGCUAUUGAUGCAGACGUUUUAUCAUGGGCUCGGCAACAGUGCCCGAGAGACCAUGGAUGCUGCAGCUGGAGGAGCAUUCUUAUCACUUACUAUACCACAAGCCACAGCUCUUGUGGAGAAGAUGGCGUCUAACCAAAGCUGGAAUGAAGAGAGGACCCAGACACGCAAGAGAGGUGGAGGUAUGCAUCAGCUGAAGGAGGUAGACAUGCUGUCUGCAAAGCUAGACCUGCUCAUGAAGAAGCUCGAUGAUAGAGCUGGAGAUAAGAAGGAAGUUAUGCACAUCUACGACUCUCACAUGACUUGUGAGGAGUGUGGAGACACUGGACACUCAGACAACCACUGCCCUGAGAUGCUUGAGGAUGUGAACUACAUCAACAACUACUACUACUACUACAACCGUCCUCAACAAAAUCAAGGUUGGAAUCAACAGAGGCCUAAUUACUCAGGUAAUUAUCAAGGUAACAAUUCUUAUAACAAUAAUAAUAAUUUUCCACCUCUGAGAGAGUUAGUGUCUAAUCAAGGAAAGCUAAUGGAUAAUCUAUCUAAGAAAUUGGCAUCUAAUGAUAAAAUGCUAGAAAAUAUAAAUAAUAGAAUGGAUAAUUUCUCUACUGCCAUCAAGAAUCAAAUUAGCUUUAAUAAAAUGAUUGAAUCUCAGUUAAAUCAAAUAGCUGCUGCUGUUCCUACUACUAACCCCGGUAUACCAUCACAACCGGAAGGAUUAGAAUCUGCAAAUCUUGUAGACAUGUUUGAUGCAGGUAAUUGGAGUAACCCUGUCACUGAAUUUUCUACUGACCGUCUGCCGGUCAAGAGAGGCGAUCCAGGACGCCCCGUCAUCCCGAUCUCCGUUGGCAUGGUGGACGUUCCAGAAGCACUCUGCGACUUUGGCUCCAGUGUCAACAUUAUACCCAGGGUACUCUAUGAAAAAUUCUUUACAUAUCCUUUAUUAGAGACAACCAUGUGUUUGCAGUUUGCAGAUCAGACGAUAACUUUUCCAAAAGGAAUAGUGAAGAACCUUUGUGUCCGAGUUGGUACCUUAUAUGCCCCAGCAGACUUCGUAGUGGUAGAGACCGGAAAUGAUGAGAGAGCACCUAUCAUCCUAGGGAGGCCAUUCUUGAACACCACGGGAGCUAUCAUCUACGCUAGUACUGCCAAGAUCAGUUUCUACGUCAAAGGGAAGAAGGAGACAUUUUUCUUCAAGAACAAGACUACACAAAUUCAAGAUCAAUCCAGACGUAAAUCAAGGAAGAGGACCAACAGGAGAAACGGGAACAAGCAAGUGUGGACCGAGUCAGCUAAGAUGGUCACUGUAGUCCAUGGAGGCCAAGAUCAUCAACUUAAGUCACCAUUUUUGACCAAGAAGGACGACCCAGGAAUGCCAAGCAUCUACUGCUCCAUACAUGGAUAUAGCUUCUACAAGACAAUUUGCGACACCGGAUCGGGCGUCAACAUAAUGGCCGCAGUCACCUAUCGGCUCUUGUUCGGGACCAUGCCACUAAGACCAACAUACAUUCAGCUCCAGAUGGUAGAUCAGACAUUUCGAGAAGUCAAAGGAACAGUAACUGAUGUCCCAGUCAAAAUAGACGAUCACUUUGUUUACACAGACUUUCAAGUUGUUGACAUGGGAGAAGAUGAGUACGAUCCACCCAUCAUCCUUGGAAGACCGUUCCUCAGCACCGUUAAAGCAAUUAUCUACAUUGGAACCGGAGAAGUACAUAUGCACUUCCCCUCAAAGAAGGUACGCCGUUAUUUUAUUGACCCUGACUAUAUCGUUGAAGAAUCUAAGCAGGUCAGAAAGAGACGCAACCGCAACCAGAGGAGGCAGAUCAUCAAGGACGGAUGGGCAGACUAUGAAGGAGAAGUUGUAAGAUCAGAAGACGUUGAGUUUAAAUAGAAUUAUCCAGAGGAGAUUGAAGCACCGAGUCAGGUAUGGAAAAUGAAGAUAACUAUAAAUGAAGAGGAGGCGCCGCCGGAAGUACCGACUACGCCACCCAAUGAACCUCGGGACGAUUGAGAAAAUGGAGAGUCCCGUUCGGAGGACUUAAAAACACCGAACGCCUUGCCAAAAGGUAAAACUUGGUAGUUAUCCUUUCCCUUUCAAUUAUUUUAAAUUAGUUUGCUUAGUUAAUCAUGUUCAUACUAUCCUAGAAAGAAAAUAAAAAUGUGAAAAACUGUAAGCCCCAUGUGAGUAGACGAGUGGCAUAAAACCCAUAAGUACAUUCACUGUGGUGGCAUAAAAAUAAAAUAAAUAUUUUUUCUGCUUUAUAAAAAUAUAAAAAUAUAAAAACAGGGAGUAAUAAUUAAGGAGUCUCAACAUGAUAAAGGCUAGAUAUUUAUGCUAACACUUAAUCAGUUCCACAAGCUUUGUUGUCUAUUUGAGCUCCACAGAAUUUAAGAAUCAAGAAGACUAGCAGACGGAGGACAUUCUAAUCGCUGUCAGAAUACUGCUGAUUUUCAAAUACACCUCUGCCACCUGCUAGCUACAUCAAGAGAAAUUACGUCAAAAUUCAGCUUGGGGGAGAGCACCCCCAUUUAUCUCGAUAAGUAUUUCUAUCUUCAUACUUAUAUUAUAUUAUAAUAUUAAAAUACAUAAACUAGGAAAAACCAAAUAAAGAUUUCGUGCUUAUUUAUCUUUUGCUUAGUGUGUUUAAUAAAUAAAUAAAGUGGCUAUGCUAAUCUGUAUCUAAAUAAAACUUAAGCAUGGAUGUGAUGAAUAGUUGCUCUGCCUAAUUUGCACAUUUUAAGUUCUCUCUCAAGUUUAGAUAUAACUGUUAUAAUUUAAGGCUUGCUCUAGACCUAAACUUGUGGGAUGAAAACUUGAUCUGAAGUCUAAGUUGUUAACGGAUACGAUAUGGGGAGGUUGAGCUGUUGUUUAUCUAUUCCUAGAGAUGCUAGAAUUCUGGAGAAUUUUAUCUUAGAAAAUCUUUAAAAUGUUGCAAGAUGAGUUCCUGUAUGAUGAGAGUUUAAAUUCCUACCACAGCCAUAUAUGCAUGCUUGCUAGACUUUGAGCCACACAUUUACUAUUUACUGCUUAUGAGCAUUGAGUGUGGUCAAGCUGUGUAGACCCUUAGAAGCUUGUCAUGUGGUUAAAUCAAGAUUCACUUGCACGUUCACUCAUAUAUGCUACUUCUACUCCGGAAGUACCAUCCACAUAUAUCCAUCCAUUUCCAUCUCCAGAAUCACCCAAAAAUAUUCUACUCCUAAUCCGGGAGAGAAUAACCAAAAAUAUUUCUGUUUUUCCUUGUGAAAUAAAUGCUCAAGUUAUCUUGUUACUACCACUUGCUAUAUUAUCUCAAGAGAUGAAUGCUCUGAAAAAAAAGAGAAAAAAAGAUACGAGGAAAUAAAAAGGAGCAAGUGCUCGGAACCUCGAAAGAAAAGAAAAAGUGAGACGAGAGGUAAAAAUGGACAAGUGUCCGACAGUAGAAUUAGGGGUACAAGAUACCCACCUGAGAGACAAGAAAAAGAAGAGCAUCUCAUUCUCCUCAUAAAGUUUCAAAAGCAAGGAAGGUAUGUAUCCCCUCAAAAGAGCAAAGUAGAAUUAGACUUCCACCACCAUUGUUAUCACCAUCAUCACCAUACACCAUUCAUUCGCCACACAUGCACAUCUUGAUUUGGCUUAUUGAUUUGUUUCUUUGGAUCCAUGGUUUGACUAUGCAAUAAAUGUUUUGUAAGUAUGUAUUAGCUGUCUCCCACCUAUGAGCUCCAGAUAUCAAAACCUUAUUAGAGUAGGGUGAGAGAGAAGGAAAUACCACUAUGCCUCAUACCAAAAAUACCACAUACUUUAAGAGAAGGCAUAUACCAUUACUGCCUUGGUAAGGAUCCAAAAAAUACCACAAAAAAGAGACCUGAGAGAAUCAUACAAGGAAUCUCUGAGUUUUAUUUGAAAAUCUGCAAAAACCCCAGAGCUAUAGCUGAUCAAGAAUGAGAGACAUGGCACUUGGCUAGACUGUUCUAUCUUUUAACCACUCAAGACAGAAGUGACGGUUACAAAUCCCAUGGUGAAGGUAAAGUAAGUAAGUUUUAAGUCUUGACAGUUUACUCUAACUCAGAGAUGAGAUCUUAUUUAAAAGCAUGUGUACCGUCUAUUUUUAAAGAUAUUGCAACAACUUAUGAUCCAUAGCUGAGUCUAUCCUUGCUCAGGGACGAGCAAGAGGUAAGCUUGGGGGAGUUUGUUGACGGUCCUUAAGUAUCAAAUUUAAUUAUCAAAUAAACAAAGAAAAGGAUCCAAAUGAAAUCAACAUCUAGACUUAGGGUUUUAUCUGACAGAAUUCCACGAGUUUUGGUGUUUGUCUAUUUCUGCAGGGGGUUAUCAGGAAAUAUGGAAGAAAGGCCCACAUGUCGGGAUUACGUAAAGAUAUUAACGUGCCGCGCAAUUAUCUUACAUCUAGAAGACUCCAGAAGCCACGAGACCGAAGCGGAGGCGAAACGGGGCCUGACCCUAGGCGCCCGCCCACCUCCUGAGUCCAAUCAGGACUCUGCUUUGCGGGAGAUUUCCACCGACCUAAAGGAUGAAUCUAAACCAUACAAUCUAUGUCGGUUUGAUCCAACGGCCCGUAUUCACUUGAAGGGACUAUAAAACCAGACCCCCUGGCCCCUGGAGGAGAGAGCCUCUCAACCCUAAUUCAUUGUUCCAUCAAGGGAGAAGAAGCCUCUGAUCAAGAUUAGAGUCACCACAUCAAUUAGAUAUCUAGAUUAGCAUAGCUACAUAGGAUUAGAACUAGAAGGAGUCAAUCUUCGAUUGGUUUCCGGAUCUGUCAAGAGGAUUCUUGGUAAUUCUCUAAUUGUGCUUCUAAUUGUUCUUCUAAUUAUCUUUGUUCUUCAAUAUUAUGAAUAUGACUUUGUUCUACUUCAAUAUAUUGCUUAUGACUUUGCUCUACUUGCUUAUAUUCAAGAUUAUAUUGUUCUUAGUUUAUCAUAGUUAUGUACUUGGCUUAGUUAGAUUGGAUCUAUAUACAUGCUUAGGAUCGUAUAGCGUUUAUCCAUCGGAUCCAUGGGUAAAUGAUAGAUAUUGUGUAGGCGUGGUGCUUAUACCGUAUUUAUCUGCGAUUGUACCCAAUAUGCCACAUCGUGGGGUGGCUCGUGAUAGUGACAGCUUCAUUGAUUCUUAUAUAGUCCCCCUCUUGUGUAUUGGGCUGGCAGAGCAACAUUAUUACAGGGGAGUGAUUGCUAUGUUUCUCAUUUACCUUGCUAAUAUCACUAUGCAUGGGUGUAGUCUUGUCUCGCAAUGAUUGCUAAGUAUGCUUGCACUAACUAUGAUAUGCUAGACUAUAUAGUUAAGAAUAACUUAGGGAAUAUUCUUGUAGUUCGUUCUAAUACCAUGCUAAUGACUUUCUAGAGUAUCUAAUUGAGUUGCUUAUCAUAUUUAUUAUGUGGCUAGAUCAGAUUAGUUAUCCUUGUCACUAUUAUUAUUUCAUAUAUCUUUUAUGUGACACUUAUCCCUGUAUGAAGAGUUAGAUAUAAUGUUCUCAAUUAUACAUGCAAUGAUAGAUGCUCAAUCUCAUAUUCUAUUCUGUAAUCAAUAGUGAUGAUUGCUAAUCCCUUCCCAGUGGUAAAAAUAUAAAUAACGAUACCUGGAAUACUUCCCGGUUAAAAUGCUACAUCGGUAUUAAUCUGUGCGCUUGCAGAUCCCAUUUAUUAUUUAUUUAGAAGAGCAAUUGCAUAUUUCAAUACCGCGUCUCUCAUGUCAUGCUGGGGAUGACAACUUGGCUUAAGUGGUGUGAGGGAUAGGUUUGGCAUUUUUGGCACCGUUACUAGAUUUAGAGAACUUAGUCUACUUUUGGUAAUGAUGUUAAGAAUACCCAACAGUAGCAUCCAAUGUGAGUAGAAAUAGAUCUUAUAGUUUCUACUAGAUUGAGAGAGAUAGAGUGGAGGUGUAGAUCGGAGGAAGCCCGGUCUGUCAGUGUCUACUCCGAGGUUGUACCUGCGGGAUCAAGUCUUCUAACCCGAGGCUUGCUCCUAGGAUUCUUCAGUAUUUCGACUUCUAAAUUCUAGUAAGUUCUUGUUUUAUUGUUCUUUGGUUUAUGAGUUUACUUUAAUCUCUUCGCGUAGAGUUUAGAGUAAUCAUCUCUAGCGUAGACGUGGUGUUUGGGCUAGGAUACUCAUAGAUAUUCCCUGACUAGCUGGACCGUGGUAGUAGCGAGGAACGUGACAUUUUUGAGUUACCUUUGUAAACCAUAUCUCGUUAGCAGGAAGGAUAGGGUUUAUAGGUGCGGGUUGAAUAUCCUCUGUGGUGUCUAGAUUCCGUAAGCUUCCCCAAUAGAAUAGUAGAUCAUCCUUACCAAGGUUAGAAGGAGAUUACGGUUGUAGUCUUCUCUAUUUGUCACUCACAUCGAGAAACAUUCUUUGUAGCCAAAAAGUUUAGUAGUAAUAGACCGGGUUAGUCAGAUGCACUCUUUCUCCUAGUGGUAAAAAAAUAAAUACGAUACUCUGGAUAACCUCCCGGGUGAAGUGCUCACCGAUAUCCGUGCGCUUGCGGAUCCAUUCUUUAUUGCGUUCCCAAAUAUCAACAGUGGUAAAAAUAUAAAUACGAUACUCUGGAUAACAUCUCGGGUGAAGUGCUCACCGAUAUCCAUGCGCUUGCGGAUCAAUUCCUUAUUGCGUUCCUAAAUAUCAACAUAGACUUCCACACCCUCAUCCGUAAAGAGACAAUUGUAACCCAUUUCACAAAGUUGUGAGAUGGACAACAAAUUGUAGCUCAAUGAAUUUACAAGUAAAACAUUGGAAAUAGAGUUAUCAUUUGAGAUAGCAAUUUUACCCAAACCAAGUACUUCUCCUUUUCCAUUGUCACCAAAUACAAUGUUUCCACUUUGUUCACCACUAGGUAGGAAUGAUGUGAACAUGUCCUUCUCUCUAGUCAUAUGAUUGGUGCAUCCACUAUCCAACACCCAACUUGUUCCACCGGAGGAGUAUUCCUACAAAGACAAAUCAAGCUUGUGUUUUACGUACCCAAAUAGAUUUGGGUCCUAGGGGGUUAGUCACAUAAAGUUUUGGCACCCAAACACUCCUCAAUAUCUCCUUCCUCUUGUGGGCACCAACAUACUUUACCACGAUCUUGCCAUCCUUGCCCCAACAACACAUAUAGUCACUAGCAUAGCACCGUGGAAGUGGUGCUUGUGGCUUGGGAGCUUCGGAUGGCUUUAUCUUGCUUCCUUGUUGCUUGUAGGUUGAAUCAUGGGAAGGUAAACCUUGUUGUUUGUCUUGCAUAUAAGCUCAUCAAGGGCAACACCCUUGUUGAACUUUACACAUGGCACUUCAUUCACCAUGUUUCUUCCAUUGGCCUUUCCAUCGUACCUAUUGUAGCUAAGUCCUUCCUUGAUGGAUGGGUGCCUAAAUGCCUUGUAUAUGGUCUUGUUAGAUUUCUCUUGGCAUUUACACCCCUUCUUCAUUUCCAUAUUCAAUCUAUUGAUUUACUUAUCCUUUUUCUCUAGCUCAACAAGGUUAGUUGCAUAUGCAUUUACAUCAAUUUUAUAGCAUCUUUUACAACCAUUGCUAGUGGAGACAUUAGAGUCUUUGGUUGCCUUAGGAGAAGUCGAAGUGCUAGCCCAAAGAGCAUUAUAGUUUAACUCAAGAAUUUGGUAUUUUUCCUUAAAGCUUGUAAGGCUCUCUUGAUCUAUACUAUUUUCAUUUUUAAGGCUAGCUACUUGAUCAUUAAUCGAGGAAUGUUCCUUAGUCAAUUUCCCAAUUGAGUCAUUGGCUAAAGACAAUUCAACAGUUAACUUUUCAACCUUCGUCUUUUCCUCGGCGAUAGAUGCUUCAAGUGCUAGGUUCUUUUCCUUCUCUUGUACAAUUAUAUCACCUUGCAUCUCUAAGCAUCUAUCCCUCUUCUCUAAAUUCUUCAUUAGAUUCUUUAUUUUAGUGAAGGCCUUAUGACCAAAUUUCUUUAUCAAGGAUGCCUCAAGUUGUUCUAUGUUCUCAUCACAACUAUCAUAUUCAUGACUAGAGGUUUCAGAUGAGGUAGUUACCUUCUCCUCCUUAGCCAUAAGGCAAGUUGGAGUGUAGUAGUCAUCAUCGAUGAGGUUGGCGAAGAGGCUCGGUGUAGAGUCCAAGUUGGGGAAGUGCUUUGGUGGUGAAGCCUUGUUUGGGGGGGUCAUGAGUGAUGAUGAGGAUUUGUGGGUGGCAAUGUUUGCAACUCCCUUCUUCUUCUUCUUCUCUUCAUCACUUGAGUCACUAUCAUUGGAUACCCAUUCUUCACCAAGAUGAGCUUCGCCCUUUUUCUUUCCUUUGUACUUCUUAUCAUUAUUCUUGUUGAACUUGUUCUUGUCUUUCACAUUUGGACAAUCAGCUAUGAAGUGACCGGUUUGGCCACAUCCAUAACAAAAUCUCUUAUUCUUUUGAUGACCCUUCUUCUUCAUAAACUUUCUGAGAUUUCUAAUGACAAAAGCAACUUCUUGAUCGAAAUCUUCAUCACCACUUGAUGAAUCAUCCUUCACUUUCUUCUUUUCUUGACAUGACUUAUGGUGUUCAUGGCCUUGCUCUACCUUUAGAGCUACAUUCUUGUUGUAUCCCAUUGCACUAGGAUUAUGACUGUGUGCAUUGAUUGCAUCUUGAUCAAGGCACUCAUGAUGCUUGAGCUUGGCUAGUACUUCUUGAGGUGUCAUGUAAUCAUAGUCAGGCCUUUCCAUAAUCACGGAUGCUAGCAUGUUGUUCUUUGCUCUAUAUGUUCUCAAGAUCUUCCUAGCAACCUUGUUUUCAUCCCAUUCGGUGCUCCCAAUAGAUCUUAUGCGAUUGACCAAAGUCAUCAUCCUAUCAAACAUGGCUUGAGUUGAUCCACCUUCUAGGAAAACAAAUCUCUCCAACUCACCGUGAAGUAACUCAAUGUUGCCCUUUCUCACACUCUUGUCACCUUCAAAUGCUGUUUUUCAAACUUCCCAAAUAUCCUUGGCAACUUCUCUUCGAUUCACUUUGUUGAAUUCAUCUGGAGCCAAACUUGAAACAAGAAUAGCUACGGCUUGCGCAUUUUAACAGAAGGUGUGAUCUUCCUCCAGAGUGAUCUCUCUAUCUUCAGUAGGAUAUAUUACACCAACAUCUACCACUUCCCAAAGAUUUGCGGCAAUGAGGUGCAUCUUCAUUUUGUAGGCCCAACCGGGAUAUCUAGUUCCAUCAAAGUGAGGAGGUUUGUCGAGGUUGAUAGAUGGAGCAUGAUGAUGUGAAGCCUUGAUGAGCUAUGAAUAAUCAAAGUUCAUGUUGGAGUAGACUCCUUUUGGUUGACCUUCCUCUCUACCUCCAACUUCACUUGCAUUGUCAUUGUCCUUGUGGCCACUAGGUCCCUCAUCAAAUUUCCUACUACCUAUUGCAUCUUCUACUUUCUUACUCAGCUCCUCUUUUAACUUAUUCAUCUCAUCUUGCAUUUUCUUCAUUUCAUCUUGAAAGAGCUUCGAUUGAGCUACCAACAGUUCUUUGGCUAUUUCCUUAGCCAACUCUUGUGUCUUUUCGGAUUCCAACAUUGUUUCUUCUCAUGCGGUAAAGCGCUAAAAGAAGACCUUGCUUUGAUACCAAUUGAAAGGAUCUAAACAAUGCCUAGAGGGGGGGUGAAUAGGCAUAUCUAAAAAUUCUACACAAAACUCAAAGUCACUUGUCAGCAACUGCCGCAAGUCCCUACAGUUUGGGUCAGAACUUCCAACAUCGUCAGAAGUUCCGACACAAACUGUCAGUAGUUCCGACACCUACGGGAAAUGAACUACAAGUGCUCAAAUGAACUUUGUGAGAUCCACAACUAACAACACCACUAUCUAGUGGUUAGAUGAAGAUGUUGAGAGCCUUCCUUGACACCGAGAGUCCCCCAAACCAUAGAUCAAGACCAAACCCUAAAAAGAGGUUGAGGUAUACAAGCAAAUACAAGUAAUACAAGUAAAUUUUAAGAACAACAAUCAUAAGUGACACAAGGAUUUAUCCCGAGGUUCAGCAACCCCACUAAGGAGUUCCUGCGUCCUCGUUAUUGAGGUGACCACCAAGGUCGGAGUCUCUUUCACCUCCUUGCCUCCCUCAAAGUAACCACAAAGGUCACUCGAGUUCUCCACUAAGAAAAACCAGGGUAAUACAAAAUUUCCAAGGCUCUUCCACAAGAUGGAAGCUCUUGGACGACGCCUAGCCAGCUAGGGUUCCAAGAACCUAAGAGUAAAAGAUUCAAAACCUGUCGGCUUGACAAAGAGAUCAAGUGCUCAAGCUUCUCAAAGUGUUGCUCUCACUUAUCCACUCUCCAAUCACUCUAAACCUUAGGUGAAUCAAAGUUAGGAGCAAAGAGGAGAGGAGAGAGGAGUCUUGAAUGCUUGGGAGCUAUUUUGUCUGAGGGUUGGUCGCAAUGAAUGAGUGGGUAACGGUUAGAAAAAGAGAGAGAGCUAUUUAUACUACUGGGAGAAAAGUCUGCUCAGAUCUACGUCGGAAGUUCCGACAUAUAGACCGGGACUUCCGACACGCACUGGAAACACUGUACAAGAGACAGUCAAAGUCUGCGCACAAAGUCAGUGUCGGAACUCCCGACGUACAUCGGGACUUCCGACGCGUCAGCACUGCUGACGAAGGUUGGAACUGCUGGCGCUUGUGCGAGGAAGAAGUCAGCCAGAGACCUAGCGUCGGGACUUCCGACGCUUGUCGGGACUUCUGACACGUGCGCGUGCAGGACUUAGCGUCGAGAGUUCUGAUUCACGUCGAGACUUCCGACGACCACACCCACGUCGAGACUUCCGACACCAGUAGACCCAGAAAAGGUAUCUAAGUGCUUGUGAGGUGCUAGAGUGUCUCUAAAAAGUUUUAGUUGAAAGACUUGAGCACUCUAUCUUCCCCAAACCAACAACUUUUGAACCCCUCUUGAUAGUACGACAUACCUAAACCCAAAGUAAAAUAGAUAAACAAUUAAGCUCUAGGUUGACUCCAAUGUCCUUCUCAAAACCAAAGAUUGGGGGACACCAUUUCAUGUUUUGUCAAACCUUUGAAUCUUUCAUGAGACUAGUAGCUGUAGCAAUUCUCAAAUAAAACACAUUAGUCCCUAAAUUGGGUGUCAUCACUACACCAAAACCGACAUAGGGGGCAAAUGCACUUUCACUCUCAAACUCCCCCUUCUUCUCCUCUUUCCUCCUAGAUUCAAAUCUUGUAAGAGAUUGAGUUGAUAGAAGGGAUUUGGUGAGAGAAACAUCAAUUCAAAGCUUGAGAACUUGAUUUCUUCAUCAAGCCAGUUGGAUUUACAUCUAUUACUCUUGGGUUCUUGGAACCCUAGCUAGCUAGACGUCACCCAAGAGCUCCUGAUUUGUGGGAGAACCUUGGGAAAUUUGUAUUACCUUUGAUUUUCUAGUGAAGAACUCAAGUUUACCUUUGUGGUUGCUUGAGAGAGGCAAGGAGGUGAAAGAGACUCCAACCUUAGUGGUCACCUCAACAAUAAGGACGUACGCAUGCCUUAGUGGCGAGCCAAACUUGGGGAUAAAUCUUUGUGUCCUGCAUGCUUAUUGUUGUUGUGAUUACUUGUUCUUUGUUGUCUCUCUCUCCCUCAAGCUAUUUCUUAGGUUUUGGUCCCAAUCUACAAAUUGGUGGUGCUCCAAGGUUAAGGAAGCACUUAGACUAUUUCAUCUUACCACUAGGAAGUGGGGUUGUAAGUUAUUGGCUUCACAAAGUUCAUUUAAGCACUUGUAGUUCAUUUCCCGUAGGUGUCGAAACUUCUAACAGUUUGCAUUGGAACUUCUGACGAUGUCAAAAGUUUUGAUUGAACUAUCGUAACUUCUAACAAUGCUGACAAAUGACUUUAAGUUGUGUAGAAAAUUUUUAGAUACACCUAUUCACCCUCCCUCUAGGCUUAUUAGGGAUCCUUAUAGUGGCGCUAUCCUUUUUAGCCUGUAUUGAUGAUCACACUAGACCUAAGUGGUUUUGAAAGUGCAUCUAGGACCUUAGUGAGGGUUUUGGUGGACUGAAUGAAAAUAUGAUUAAGGGCUAAUAACACUCAUAGGAUUUGCAUGUGUUUUGUUCUAGGUUGAUUCUAUUGUAUGAUAGACUCAUAUUAUAUAUUGUGAUCAAUAUUGAUGAGAAUAGAGUCCAAGGUUGUUCAUUAAAAUGCAUGAAUUGGCAAGCAAGUAUGUUAUGAAAUAAACGAGACAUGAGGGUUGCAUAUGGAUUAGUCUCACCUAUAAAGCUUGCAAAUAUAAAAUCAAAGAUAAUGAAUAUGGUGUUCAUUCUUAUGGUUACUUGUCAAUGCUUGUGUAUGGAGUUUAUUGAAAUGUCAUGGAAUCAAUCUAGCUCAAGCAGAUGACAGCAAUGCAAAUGAAAUGAUUUACAAUGUAUUCUUAUUUUUUAUUCAACGCAAGAUAUGACUUCAUAGCUUUAUAGGGUGAAUAUAACAAGUCACGGGCUUCGAUGAUGUACUAAGCGAGGGUGAAGGGCAAUGCCCGCUUGGCUAUCGAAGGACCUGGCUAGGGUGAAGAAAAGAGUACUUGCAUUGAGUGAAGGUACUAAUUAAGCUAUGGAAAGUCAUGUUGAUGUGGAGAAUCAAAUCAUCUGUUGAAUCAAUAUAUGUAAGUGACUUGAAGCCUAUGAUUGAAAUUCAAUGUGUGAAUUGGUUCAAGUCACAUGCUCAAUGUGGCAAGCAAAGGAUUAAAGGAAGCUCAAGUUGUGACUAAAGGUUGCUAUCUUUUAUUUCUUUAUAGGCAUAACACACUAUCAACAAGAGGGAUGCAUCACUGAGUUUGAGACAAGUGAUAGUGCUCAAGUAAACCUAUGUGAGGAAACUUGAGAGUGAGAGAGAAGCUUUACCUCAUCCUCUAUAGGAAAAUCAGCCGACUAGGAUGAAUUUUGCCCUAAUGGCUAGUUGAUUUAAAUAACCGACCAAACCAAGUUUUCAUAUCGACUAGGUCGAGUUAGCCCAAUAAAUUCCAAUGGUUGGUUUUUUAGUGAGUCCUAUUUAUUCCUCUCCCUUUCCUCCUUUUGUUGGUCGUUGUUGCUACCCACUUGCCAUACACGACCAGAAGCCCUAGGCCACUCCUCUCCUUCCCUUUAUAGGUGAUAGUGAUUAGAAAAGUGAUAAUCCUUUGGUUAUGGAGUGAGCCUUGCUUUGUGAGAAGCCUAUAAGUGGCAUUAGAGAGCUUGAGAGAUAUUAUGUGAGCUAUCAAACAUCUUGAGCACUUUAGCAAGUCAAGAAUUUGGGUUGUUUGCAUUUGUGACUCUUGGAACUUUGGCUCUUGGUGGCUAGGCGUCACUGCUAAGCACCCAAGGGUGUGAGUUACCGCAAUAUAGUUCACAAGGACUGUAAUCUUGUCAUUGAAAAAAGGAAAAAGCUCGCUUAGUGGAAGUGUGAAAAAUGGUUAAAAGAAACCCGACUAGAGUAGACCUUUGUUGGGUCACUCAGGGCUUCCACAACAUAGACAUCCGGCUCAUUUGGAGGCCUAAAUUUUAGUCAAACAAAUAUCUGCAUCUUACUUUGGUUUGUCUCGUUUUUGUUCAUAUGCAUACAUUUAUUGUGCUACUGCCUGUGUCUACUUGGGUGUGAUGUAGGGACUGUGCGAACCUGCAAACAUAUUGCACACCAUGUUUCCAUGGAUCCGGAGUAGUGUAUAAAGCCACUUAAAGCCUAAGGAUUAUGCUAAUAGUCUUAUUACCCAAAUUGAGUUGCAUAUACGCUAGCUUGAUGACACGCAAAGAAACUAGCCAUGAGAAAAUUGGAACAAUUUACACUUCCGUCGUACCGAAAAACCUUAAACUCAGAUACGACGACACAAGGACUUCGGUGGGAGUUAGAAUGACAAAGACAUGCCUUUUAUUUAGCCAAGAUGUCGAUGGGCAAGCAACGGAGGACAAACAACAUGGCACUACGCACUAGCCAUUGAAGGUUCAUUAUUUGACAUAUACCUGAAAGCUGUCCAACUAAUACCGUACGUAUAGCUGUUGAAGGCGCGCGGCAAGAUGGUACUAUAAACCGUGCAGUCAAGAUCAUAUGCUUAAUUAAUUUGGUGCCGGCCAAAUGCCCACCAAGAACGACAAGUGUCGCUCCAAGAGAUGGGAAAUUGGCAAAUUGCUUUGUGGCACCGUUUCCAGGCUUCCAGCGGGAUAGCUCAUCGAUCAUUGCUACCAUACAGUAGUAAAGAACAAGUGCAUGUCACUGAUUGGACAACUCGCAUAGAAGGAAAUUCAUGUACGUAGCUAGCUUAGGCAGAGGUGAGAGAUAAAAGUAAAAAAUAUUUAUAAUUUUAAUUUUUUAUGUACUAUUGAACCUACGUGCUAUUUUUAUUUUUUUAUGUACUAUUGAACCUAUAUGCCUUCUCUUACAUUCUUAAACUACGUGAAAUAGAUUAGUUAUUUAUUUGCCGCUAGUGACUACUCUUUCUCUUAUAUUUUUCUGUCUAUGUCUAAAUAGCUAGCCAAAUAGCUAGCUAUGGGAGACAUCCUAUAUGCCCAGAAUCUGCCACCUUGCUUUUGUGUUGUGUCGGAAUUAUUUUAACUUUUAAUUAGACGACGAGAUGUACUACCUCUAUCAAAAAAAAUAUAUACUCCCUCCGUUCACAAAAGAAUUUCUAGAAUCUGUGUCAGUCAAUUUUUUUAAAGUUUGACUAACUUUAUAUAAAAGAGUAACAAUUUCUAUGACAUAAAAUGCGUAUUAUGAAAAUAUAUUUUAUGAUAAAUUUAAUGAUACUAAUUUGGUAUCAUAAAUCUUAGCAUUUUUUUCUAAAAAUUUGUUCAAAGUUUAAAAAGUUUAACUUUUGAUUCAAUUCAUGGACGGAGGGAGUAAUUAUAGGAUGUGUGUUGGUCAAAUUUGUUUAAAAUUUGAUCAAUGCAAGUUUUUCUCUGAUUUUGUUAAAUUUGAUCAAGUUAUAGUAAGUACUAUUACUAUUUAUGUCUCUAAAUAAAUUUGACUUCUUAGAAAAUAAGAAUUGUAUUUUUUUUUCUAUGGAUGGAGGGAGUACUUUAUUUUUCAUCGGACAGUACUAUUCCUCUUGUUUAUUAUGUUGUCCACGGAACCAGUGCAUUUACGUUCGACGGACGCAGCGCAAAGAGGCAUGGACUCUCCCGUCUCUCUCCCAUCCCAUAGUCCUGUGCUGGGGCUGAGAUAAAGACCUGCCAGUGCAGCACUGCGUCGCAACUACACGAUCUCGCUGGAGUUACUACGACGUCUCUGAAUCACUGCUACUGCUCCCAGAGUCAGGGGUCUGUUAUUUUUUUUAAUUAAAAAAGUGAGAGAUAUGAAAAAGAAAUGCACACCGACAGAUCUAAAAAAAGAACAACUCCUACCUUCGUUUUGCGAUUAGAACUUUUACCACGGAAACCCUUUUUUGCCGACUAGUAUGUCCUCUAUUGGCUCUAUAUAUACGUACGUGCGCGCUACACAUCCAUUCACUACAUGGAUACGUCCUCUAUACGUGCUAUACAUCUCAGAGCUCUCUCUCCCCACUCACAUGGAUGCUGCUCAUCGCAUGGCUCUCUCCCUGUCCCCAUGGUCCUACCACACCAAAAUCUCAAAAAGUCGGACGUCAAUGACAUUGCCGUAGUGUGCUGUGUGCAUGCAAGUCUUCGGCGUUAUUUUCUGGCCGACGCGUCACAAAAGUAGAGGACACGUAGCACACACACCACACCACCACACAGUCGUUGCCAACCUAAUGAAGUCGAAUGAUUGUACUGAUAUGAUAAUAUUGAACUCUGUAUGUGUGUGUGUGUGUGUGUGUUAGUUUUUUUUACUGAAUUCUUUCUGAAGCGCAUGUAAGAGAGAAUUGAUGAGCCGAAGGUUAUGAUGGUGUGGUAGUAGUUAUUGUACUUUCCAGCGGGGUCACUGUUCUCUCCCCGUACACACAAGCGCGAGCAGCUCUAUAAAUUGAGCUUGUCCAAGGACGACAGUUCAGUUCACUGGUGGCUGGGACUAGAUCACAAAUCACAGGGAAGCAGUGGUAGUGGUACCUUGCAAUGGCGACGAACCCCGGCCUCUUCACCGAGUGGCCAUGGAAGAAGCUCGGCAACUUCAAGGUAGAGCUCUCCCAUCUCCAUAUCCUGCGGCCUACGUACGGUUCACGUACUCCCGUAGCCAGCUCAUCAAGCAAACGUCCUUGGCUGAUGCGUGCAUGGCAAAGGAGAGCGGCAGCUCAAGUAAAAUCAGCAAUCACUAGUUCAGUUCUCUGUUCACCGGCGUGCCAUGCCAUGCAUGGCCAUGUUCAUGCACUGUGUCGGAACAUGCAUGCGUGGACUUUCUAUGCAUGCACCUGUGAGAUCAGUUUUAUGCCACUGUGGCUUCCAGUAGAUAGGUCUCUUUUGCUGUUUUGGGUAGCAGCGACGGCUCCUCGCCUUCGUGGUUAUCAUGUUUGUAAUUUUUUCUCUCUCAAUGACUUAAUGAAAUACGGGUGAAUGGCAUGCAGUACCUGUUGGUGGCGCCGUGGGUGGCGCACGGCGUCUACCUCGUGGCGACCAAGGGGUGGAAGGCGGCCGACCUGGGGUACAUGGCCAUCUUCCCGUCGCUGCUCCUCCGGAUGCUGCAGAACCAGGUGUGGAUCACCGUGUCGCGGCUCCAGAACGCGCGCGGCCGGCGGCAGAUCGUGGACAGGGGCAUCGAGUUCGAGCAGGUGGACCGGGAGCGCAACUGGGACGACCAGAUCCUCCUCAGCGGCAUCCUCAUGUACCUGGGCUUCAUGUACAUCCCCGGCGGGCAGCACCUGCCGCUGUGGCGCACGGACGGCGCCGUGCUCAUCGCGCUGCUGCACGCCGGCCCCGUCGAGCUCAUCUACUACUGGUUCCACCGCGCGCUGCACCACCACUUCCUCUACACGCGCUACCACUCCCACCACCACGCAUCCAUCGUCACCGAGCCAAUCACCUGUAAGCUACUCUACUUACUAUACAAGCCAAGUCGCCCCGCCGGCCCCUCUCACUUUCAAAUUUCAAUACGCCGGCAAAUUUGAUGCCAGUACGUACGUAAUCAUGCAUAUGCAAGUUGGCAAAUUUGCUUGGUAGAGCUAGCUCCAGCUCCAACUUGCUCCAAGAUGAGUGUUGGAGUGAAUUAUCUUAUUUACAUUCUGAAAGAAGGUUAAAACUAGUCUAUUUUGACUUACAAACUUUAUACCACCUCCGCCCUCAUCCUUAGUCAAACAUCAAAAUUUUGACCAUUUGUUUUAUAUAAAUUGUUUUAUAUAAAAAUAGCACCAAAAUUUAGGCCCCAUAUCAUACAUCUCCACAUCACUGGUGAAGUCAUUUUUCUUUUCUUCAACUCCACAAGCAUCUCCACCGGUAAAGCAAAAACAACUCUACAUGUGGAACUUUUUAAAACAUGCUCUCAGAAUCCCACAUAAGGCCUACCACAGCAAGUGGGAGCUAAAACAAGCUACAAUUUUUAGCUCCAUCUCCUAUUUACCCUUGUGAGAGCGUGUUUUAAGGAGCUUCUAUGUUUCAUUUUACCCUGACAUAAAACAACUCCAAACGGAGAAGCUUUGCCAAACAUAGAAGCUUUGUCAAAUGGAGCCUUACAACAUCAAAUAAAUAAAUAUACUAUUAAAAUAUAUAUUAUUACAUGACAAAUCUAAUGACACUUAUUUUGUAUGGUACCUUUUUCAUAAAUAUAAACUUAGGCUCAUAAUGAUUUAACUCGGUACUACGUAAAAUUGUAUUCUUUUUACUACAGCAAAGAGUUUUUUCCCCCUGUCGUACAGAACAUUUUAUGAAAAAACACUGUGCUGUAGACAAUCUUUUAAAGAGUCUAGGUCUAGGAGCUUAACAUGGCUUUGGCAUGGUCCCGGACAUCGACAUCCAGAGUUGCAUGCAUGAGGUUGCUUGGAACAAAGACCUUUCCAAAGGACAGUAAAACAUGCGCCUUCCCUUUCAAAGGGCUUCUACUGACCAGAGACGGCACUGUCAAUCGACAACGCGUCUCCUGUCGUCUUGAAUCUUGAUGCCGAAUUUGAGCCCUGGAGAGCGACCACUGGCCGAUUAAGGACAUGCAAAUCCGGGACCAUGCGAAAGCCAUGCUGCACAGUUGCUGCAUGCCUACAGCUUUCACAACCGAACAGAAUCGAAACAUGAUCGCGUUCAUUGCCGGACACCACGUACACGUACUUAUUACCACCGAAUCACUAUCUCCAUCGGACGGAUAGAACCCCCACAGUAUUCUAGGUUGUCAGCAAGGAAACCAAUAUUCUUAAAAGCUGUUCUAGGGACACCAUCGUUUUCUGAUGUAAUUGUCAAAGUCUUGAUUCCAAUAAAAAAGAUAGUAAAACAAUAUCUUCACUCGUAAAAUAGAAGUUCAUUUCUUUUUUAAAAAAAUGAAAUAUAAGAGAAGCUUCUUAGUUCUCAUGUACGUAAAGUUUUAGAAAUAUAGAGCCUACAUAUGGUUGAGCUGGGAGUGUUGUGUGUACCUUGGGUAUAGUGGCAGAACUCUGCAUGCAGCUAGGCUUCAACAGCUGUAAGCAUAGUGAAUUUAACCAUAUAAAGACGAUUCUUUAGAAAGAAGUACCUUACUUCUGAGUAGUUCAAACUAUCAGAGAUGAAACUUUGAAGGGAAACAGUUAACUAAUUCACAUGUAACCCAGGGAGGUUACGAGAGGAAGAGAAAGUAGAUAAACCAGGAUUAAUGGCAGAGUAUUUUUGCAAACUAUUUUUAUGGCACUAAUUCAAAGGUGCAAAAACAGAGAAAAGUACUUGCACUAGACAUGCCUUAGCCAUGGAAAUGAUGUGACAAGAAUUCACAGUUUAAUAGAUAACAAUGAAUAUUAGCUUGUUUUUCUACUUCCCAUCUCCAUUGGUUUCCAUAAGCAGUAAGAUAAACUGAUACAGAAAAGCUGUAAUUCAAACAAGGUCAUACUUACAGCAUGCAAUACACCUCAAAGAAAUGUAAAAACAGAGAGAUAAGUCUUCAAGCAUACAACCAGGAGACAAGAGCAGUCCACAUGGCAAAUAAAAACAUUGUCAGACUUAGAUUGAUAGAUUUCUGAGGGAAUAUACCUGGUUCUUGAUCCUUCUCCAGACCUUAGAAAGCAGAAAGACUGCAACAAUUAAGAUAACAUAAACCUUGAAAUGUUAUCAUAUAUCACAGAUCAUUUCCUUAUAAGAAUUAUCAGGCAGCCAUCUUAUGCACAUCUAAUGGUGCUUUUUUUAUUCCCUUCCCUUUGGAGCAACUAGCGCAUAUUAAGAUCAAAUCUUGUUCUUUUUGUGCAGCCGUCAUCCAUCCAUUUGCUGAGCUCGUGGCAUAUGAACUACUGUUCUCGAUCCCAUUGUUUGUGUGCAUCUUCAAUGGAACUGCUUCCAUUCUUGCAUUUGUGAUCUACGUGAGCUACAUCGACUUCAUGAACAACAUGGGUCACUGCAACUUUGAAUUGGUACCCAAUUGGCUCUUCAAAUGGUUCCCUCCUCUCAAGUAUCUCAUGUACACACCCUCGUAAGUAUCUCACAUAACUGCUGCUCUCCACAAUAGAUAUAAUUUGUUUAACCAAUGCAAGCAGGUUUGACUCUAAUUUAUAUUUUGUAGAUUAAGUUAUUUCCAUGAUUCCAUAUGUUGUUCUGAGUUAUAAAUAAAUUUUUGCAACUUAGGUUUCAUUCUCUUCACCACACUCAGUUCAGGACAAACUACUCCCUGUUCAUGCCAUUCUAUGACUACAUAUAUAACACCAUGGACAAGUCAUCAGACACGUUGUAUGAAAAGUCACUCAAGGGCAAAGAAGAAACAGUAGAUGUGGUUCAUCUUACCCAUCUUACCAGCCUGCACUCCAUCUAUCAUAUGAGGCCCGGGUUUGCAGAAUACGCUUCUAGACCUUACGCUUCCAAGUGGUAUGUGCGGAUGAUGUGGCCCAUGUCAUGGAUUUCCAUGGUUCUGACAUGGACAUAUGGUUCUUCGUUUACUGUUGAGAGGAACGUCAUGAAGAAACUCAAAAUGCAAUCAUGGGCCAUCCCAAGAUACAGUUUCCAUGUAAGAAUCAUGGUUAACUGAAUAUACGAUAUCUGCUUGAUAUUUUCCAUAACAGUGAGUAGGAGCUCCAGUAUCUUGUUUCAGAAAAGAAUCUAACAGAAUCACCAACUUUCUCUGUUCUGCAGUAUGGAUUGACUUGGGAGAAGGAAGCGAUCAAUAGCCUGAUUGAGAAGGCGAUAUGUGAAGCUGACAAGAAUGGAGCUAAAGUUGUUAGCCUCGGACUCCUUAACCAGGUAUGCCAUUUAUUCAGUUAUUAGAAAUAAACAGCUCAAAAAGAUGAUCUCGCAUUUAAAUGGAAGUCGCAAGAAUGUGCACUAUUAAUCUGGAAGUAUGGAAAGAAAAUUAUUAGUGUACUGGAAAAAAAUGGUUUAGUUGUAUGUGGUGAAAUUGGUAAAAACCUAACAAUAAGAAAAUUAUCAAAAAGGUGGCAAUAGGCACUUGUUCCAAUGGUGCUUGCAUGUUGAUGGAUUAUAUAGAAAUAGCAUAGCAUGGUCUCAUAGUUACCUCAAGUCUAAACGAACAUUCAUCCAAGUCACAAACUCAUGAAAUCUCUUUAUCAUUUGUCCACUUGAUCAUGAUAGUGCUCAUUCAGUGUAAUUACCAUCCACAUGCAAGGCAAGUAAUGAGUUAUAAUAGAAAUAAUUAACAAUAAUAUAUUUAUCAACAGGCACAUAACCUCAAUGGAAAUGGAGAACUUUAUCUUCAGAAGUAUCCAAAGUUGGGAGUAAGACUCGUAGAUGGCACCAGCUUAGCUGCUGCUGUGGUUAUGAAUAGUAUUCCUCAAGGCACAGAUCAAGUUGUUCUUGCAGGAAAUAUUUCAAAAGUUGCUCGUGCUGUUGCUACAGCAUUAUGUAGGAAGAAUAUCAAGGUAAGAAAUAAAAAUGCACAUUUGAUUCAUGCUAAUCACCUAAAUAAAUAAACUUUGCACUAAUAUGUAAUCCCAAUGCAUAUUGCUCAGGUAGUAAUGACCAACAAGCAGGAUUAUCAUUUCCUUAAGCCCAGCAUGGCAGAAGAUGCAGCUGAGAACCUUUUAUUUUCAAAGACAGCUACUGCAAAGGUUAAGAGAUUUCUAACCGCCAUCCAUUUUCUUAAGAAGUGGAUAGGAGAUGUCAUAUAAAAGGCCAUCAAAUCCAAUUGUCAAAUUCUCACCUGUUGGCCCAAAAUUUUGUAGGUGUGGUUAAUUGGGGAAGGUCUAGAUGCUUCUGAGCAGUUUAAGGCACAUAAAGGGACCCAGUUUAUCCCAUAUUCACAGUUUCCACCAAGAAUGGCACGCAAGGACACCUGCACCUACUCUAUAACGCCUGCAAUGGCUGUGCCUAAAACACUACAGAAUGUGCACUCCUGUGAGGUAAAUGAGGUCCCAAUGAAAUGUAACUCUGCAGGCACUUUAAUGCAUGAUCUCAUUGAGUCUACCAAUUUGAAAACUUUGCAGAACUGGCUGCCAAGGAGGGUCAUGAGUGCAUGGCGCAUUGCUGGAAUGGUUCAUGCGUUGGAGGGAUGGAACGAGCAUGAGUGUGGGGACAUCGUGCUAGACAUGGAGAAAGUGUGGUCUGGUGCUCUUCUGCAUGGAUUCCGCCCUGUGGCUCAAGUUUGAUUCUCCGGUUGCAAUUGCAAGGCAGCGCAAUAAGUUAUUGAAAGUUAUGUCAUAUGCUCAUGAGAAUUAUGCUACAGACAUAGUAGUAUGUUGAUGUUCUAUUCUCCAUGCUCUGCCUCUUAUCACUUUAAGACCUUCGCUAUCUAAAAUUUAAGAUGAACUCCUUUCGUGUAAAAGCAUUCUGUGGAAGCAGGAUAAAAAAAUUACAUGUCUAUAAUGAUAAGCAGGGAUGGGAUGUAGCAUAUAAGUGUUCUGAUCUACUGCUAGCUGUUUACUACUUUAUUCACACCGUACACUCAAAGACCAAUGAUGAAUUAAUUCUGCAUCAGUAUUUCUCAAUGCAUCAAUGCAUAUUUCAACAAGAAACAGGUAUGGGAAAUGUUGUUCACUCUCCAUGUAGAGAUGUUGAUGAAAGAUCUGGUUCCAUGCUUCAUUUUGUUCAUGAUCCAGAGAAAGUAGAGAUGGCAUAUAACAUUUUUCACAUAAUAUAUUCACUAAUAGUGAGUAGUGACCCCAUAUUGCCCAAGACAAAAUGCAAAACCAUGACCAACAUAUGCUCUGCUGACAUAGAAAUGGAGUAGCAUCGCAUAAGCUCUUCUAGAACCUAUAAGAUACUAUAGCACCACAUAAUAAUCAUUGAAACAAAGGAUUCAUGGUAUCUUAUCAUACAAACAAGAUCGUUGAUAUGGGGAACUUUGAAAACCCUAUCACAGUGUUGUAAUCCUAGCCGUUUAUCAACUGCUUGCCAGUACAUCCAUCUAAUUUUGGUUUGCAACACAUAAUAACUGUACUGUGAAGGUGGUCAUUGAUAGUGACUCCAAAUUCCUACCGUUUCAUCCUUGUCAAAUUCCACAUUUUCUCCUUGCCACAGCAAAUUUCUGAAUCGGAACUUGCUGUAUUUCUCGGGUUUUCUCAUAAGGAGGAAGUGAAGCGACGGAGACUAAACAGACUCGCUUAGCAGGGAGAACAAAAAAACAUAGAAUGCCGAGAGCAAAAAACAUCUCACUGUUUACAGCAGCGACGGGCGGAGCAGGCAAGGCCGCGCGGACGGCUCGAAUGAUUCCACGAGCGGCGCCAGCGUCCGAUCAGGGCUAGAUGCCGGAAACGGUAGCUGACGAGGGAGAGGGUUCGCGGGUCGGGAGGCAACCACCGAUGCACGGCAUCGCUCCCCUCGGCUCCUCCACGGUGGCCGGCUGGCCGCCGCCAGCGGCCGCCGGGCCGGGCCCUGGCGGCUUGCGGUCGGGAGGGCGGGCCCGGAUGUGUGCGCUAUUGUGUACACGUGAGACGUUGGAUCAUCAUUGGACGGCUCAGAUUAUGGAGACUGGUACUACGUACUAUUCGUUCUUAUCCGCGAGACCCGUCGUGGAUUUAGAAGCGAAUGGGAUGAUGGGCCUCUGGGUUUCCGGGCCACCCAACUAGUCCAGUAUUUACGGCCCAUUUAGGGCCUUCAUUGUUCAUUUUCUUUUUGCAUUUUUGGAUUUUGGAGUUUCGGACAGUUCGCAUGGAAGCAAAGUCACUGUAGUUCAUCUCGGAGGAUGAUUGAUCCUGUUCCGGCGAUUGAACUGCAAAACUCCUGUGCUGUCACACCGUACAGAAACAAGUGUAACAUGCGACGCAGCCUACUACCUUCCCUUCCCCUCGAACGCGAGCAACACUGUUUUUUAUGCGGUUUUCAGCAAGCAAAUGCGACAACACCACACAACACACACCGUCACGGACACCCUCUAGUGCUCUCCAUCAUCACUUCACACCAACCGGCCGCGCAUCACCGCCGCCUGGCGAGCUGGAACGUGCGCUUCAAGAACUGGUUGGCGGCCUCGUCGUCGCGGUGGCAGAGCACCCGGAGGAUCGUGUUCGGGUCGCCGGAGUCCCACCUCCGCGUCGUGGGCGGCAGCGGCGUGCACCCGCCUCCUCCUCCUCCGCCGCCGCCGGCGUCGUCCUCGGCGCCGCCGGCCCCACCGAUGGAGUCGCACGUCGCGACGCUGAACGCGUCGAUGAGGUAGUCCGUGGAGCGCGCCAUGAGGUCCACGACGGCCUCUGCCGUCUCCGCCUCCCUUGCCACCACGUCCUCGGGGACCAGCCCUUCCCCGCACGUGGAGAAGGCGCGCUUCAGGCUCCGGAAGUCCUCCUCCACCAUGGCCUGGUCGGCGCGCGCGAAGCUCCGCUCGUUGCCCCCCGCCAGGAGCACCAUGAGGAAGGCCUCGAAGGAGGCCCGCAUCACCUCCCGCACCGCCACGGGCUGCGCGCGGUCCGCCAGCACGGACACCAGGAACGACAGGUUCUGCUUCAGCAGGCGGAGCGCCGGGCGGAUGCGGGCGUCCGCCACGCUGCGGGCGUAGAGGCCCUGGUAGAAGGAGUGCCGGGAGUCCAGGAAGAUGAGCCGGUGCGCGGCGACCUCGGCGACGGUGGAGAUGGACGACUGCGCCGCGGCGCGCGCGCGGGACAAGUGGGACGGCGACGAGCACGACAGCGAGGUGUCGAGCGCCUCGACGUGGGUGAGCACGUAGUGGAGCGUGUUGAGGCGGACGUAGAGCCGCUGCGUGCCCCGGCUGAUGGACGGCCGCGGGAUGUGGUGCGAACCGCCGCCGCGCGGGCUGACCUCCGGCGCCUGGCACGUCGGCAGCGCCGCCUUCUUCCAGAGACGGAAGAAGCCCGAGUCUUGGUUGCACCUCGUCAGCGGCGGCAGCGGAGGGAGGUAGUUCUGUUUCGAACCUGUCGUCGUACCAUUGCAUCGUCAACCACGUUCCAACAAGAAACAAAACUUGUCUGGCACACACUCGAUGCACAGACAGAACAACGUGAAGCUUACCGCAGGACGCCACAAAGGAGAUGUAGUCCUGGAAGAUGGACUCCAGGCCGUCGACGAGAUCGUGAACCACCUCGUCUUUCGCGCUCGCUGGGAUCUCGGAGAAUUCAUCGAUGGUCAACCUAGCCAGCUUCAUCAGCUCCAUCGCGGACCCGGCAAACGGUUCUUCCUUGGACUUGGGUAUCCAGCUCUAGAUCGAAAACACGCAGCAGAGCAGGGAUCAGUAAGUGAUUUGUCCAAAAUUCGAGCUCGAUCUACCGUCCAAGUGUAUGAGUACCUCAGUGUCUCUUGCUCUGAGGAGGCAGUCCCUGGCAAGCCCAAGCUUGUCGUCCAUCCAGGCCUUGAGCAGUCCCAUCACGACGGACUCCACCUCGAAGGGCUCCAUGUCGCCCACGACGGUCUUGGCCCGGCCGUCGUCGCAGUCCGCCGCGUCCUCGGCCGUCAUCUGCGCCAGGGCCUUCUCCAGCCUGCUCGCCGAGUGGAGCACGCGGACGAGCUCGUCGGUGAGGAUGGUCACCUUGGCGAGGUACUGCCUCAGCACGACGCCGAAGCAGCCGUGCAGGGUGACCGCGGCCACCGCCACCGGCGCGGGGUGCCACCGCCUCAGCACCGGGCUGAAGUUCCUGCGCUCGAACAUGGCCAGCUGCUCCGUGUCCCUGGCGAGCUGCAUCAGGACGGACCCAGGGUCGCUGUCGCGGUCGAUGAUCACGCUGUCGGACUCGCCGAGUCCGUUCUCAAGUAUCUGCAACCGGCGGUCGUCGUCAGCGGAUCAAUACUCUGUGCCAGUUGCCAAGAUCAUAUAGUAACAUCAACUUUAGCAUUACGUUGGUGAAGGCGCUCUUCAUCGAACACCUGACGUAAUAAUCUACGCGGUCUCCAGCAAAGUUGCCAUCGCCGGCACCUUCCCGGUCAGCGAUGAUCUUUCCCGCGGCAAGCGCCAUGGACAGCAGGAUCUCCAUGCCUUCCGUAGCAGAACCACCACCGAUGCCCUUAUCGUAGCUGUCGUGGUAGUCCAGGAGUCGCUUCUCCGACCACUCCUGCAUCCCACCGAGCGCGCUCAGGAGCACCUUGACGUACAGCGGGUCACGGCUCCCCUGCUUGGUGUCGGCCGCCACGUCAACGAGCACGGUGAGCGCCGCAGCGACGAGGUCCGGCUCGACCUGGCCUGUGAUCACGUACUGCUGGAAGAAGACCCACGCCAGGCACACGUUGUGCAGGAUCCUGUUGAUGCCGAGCGUCGGCCACGUCUUCUUGAUGAGCUCUAGGAGCUCGUCGACCUCGUCGAGCACGACGGUGCACUCCCUCAGGUCAAAGAUGGUCUGGAGGAGGGAGCAGUAGAGGAGCACGUUGAGCGGGUACCCGUCGGCCCAGUGGCACGCUUCUACGGCGGCGCCGGGGGUGCCGGAGCGCCACGAGAGCGCGUGCACGGCGUUGCUGAGGGCGCGCAUGACGUCAGAGUUCUUGCCGGUGUCGAUGGCGCGGAUCUCGGUUGCGCGCAUCACCUCGCGGAACCGGAGCACGGCGGCGUGGAGGCGGUCGAGGGGGAGGGACGGGUGCAGGAUGAGUCCUGCCUCCAGGAGCUUGAUCUGCCGGAACUGCCACUGGUGGUACUCCUCGGCGUCCGCGAACUCUGCGGGCUUGAGCUGCCGGAGGAGUUCCAGCGGGAGAACGAUCGUCUCCGCCCUCCUGCCCACCUGUAGUGCAAAUCAAAUCAGACAUGUCAAUGAAAAGAUGCAGAAGAAACAGAAAACGAUCGAUGCCGCCAUGGGCGCCGACCUGACCGACGACGGUGCGCAUGAGGGUGCGGCGCAGGCGCGCGUCACUCUGGUCGGUGACCCGCAUCUGCUGCCGCAUGAUCUCCGCCGACGUCAUCGGCCGCCGCACGCGGCCAGGGGACGCCGGCCCCGACGUCUGGCUCAGCGUGCGGGCCAAGCCCAUCAUCGGCUGCGCCCCCGACGAGAGCCGCCUCGGCCUGAGUCCGAGCGCCUUCUUGACUCGGCUGCCCAUGACGCUGCCCCCGGUGCCAUUCCUCGCGCCAGCGCCAGCGCCGGCGACGGGCGACGACACCUCCCCUUCCGCCACGCCGCCCCUGCUAGCAGGUGCCGCCGGGCCGGACGAGCGGCAGGACAUGAAGAAGAUCUCGUACGCGGUCUCGCGGAGCUCGACGGGGCCGAGCGCGUCGACGCGGCCGAAGGGGCAGUCGAGGCCGACCGCAGCGAAGUCGAGCUCGGUGAUGUCGGACCGCGUCGCCGUGGAGCUCGCGGAGGCGGAGCGCGAGCGCUGGUGGCCCCCCAUCUCGUCCCGGCCCCGGGUCCCGGCACGGCCCAGCCACCCAGAGAGACAGCCGGGGCUCGCGCGCGAUCGGGAGUUUGGGAGGUGACGCGCGAGGACUCGGGGGAGAAGUGAUCAAGAAUUGCAAGGGCAGAGACGGCCGGUGCAUGCCGCGCCCAAAUCGAGCCAACUAUUUCCGCGCCGCGUUUGCAGGGUAACCAAGGGGUGGGUUGGACUCUCACAGAAUUUCAUCCUGAUACAUGCUUUGCACCAGGAAAAAUGAAGAGGGAGAAAAAGUUGCGAUAAAAAUCUGCGAUAGCUGCUACUUUUACCACUGCUCGGAAAUAUACAAGCUGCAUAUAUUGUACCGAAGUGCCAGGUAUGUGUAUCAACAUCUGGAUUUCAACAGCAGUGUUUCCAGAAGUAAGAACACCUGGAUUAAGCCCAUGUUUAGGCUUUGUUUAGUUCCGAAAAUUUUUUGGUUUUCGGUACGGUAGCAUUUUCGUUUUUUAUUAAAUAAAUAUUGUUUAAUUAUAGACUAACUAGAUUCAAAAAAUUCAUCUCGCGAUUUACAGGUAAACUGUGUAAUUAGUUUUUGUUUUCGUUUAUAUUUAGUGUUUCAUGUAUAUGCUGCAACAUUCGAUGUGACAGGGAAUUUUAAAAAGUUUUGGUUUUUGGGGUGAACUAAACAAAGUUUCCCACCCAAAACUUUUCACCCAUCACAUCAAAUUUUUAAACAUAUACAUGAAACAUUAAAUAUAGAUAAAAACAAAAACUAAUUUUAAAAGAUUCAUCUAUAUUUAAUGCUCCAAACAUGUGCCGUAAAAUUCGAUGUGAUAGGAAAUCUUAAAAAAAAUUAGUUUUUAGGAGAAAAUUAUUAGCCAUGUCAGUCAUCACACACCUGAAAUAGAGAUAAAGCUAUGUUUUUAGUUUCGUAAAUAGUCUACUCCCUCUGCCCCACAAAUAAACGCAAUUCUAGCAAUGAAUCUGGACAUAUCCAGAUUUAUUGCUAGAAUUGCUUUUUUUUAGAACGGAGGGAGUAUAUCUAGGCCUUGUUUAGUUUCUAAAAAAAUUGUCUCCGUCACAUCGAAUCUUGCGACACAUGUGUGGAGCAUUAAAUAUAGAUAAAAAUAAUAACUAAUUACAUAGUUUAACUGUAAUUUGAGAGAUGAAUCUUUUAAACCUAGUUAGUCCAUGAUUGGACAAUAUUUGUCAAAUACAAACAAAAUGCUACAGUGCUCAUUUUACUAAAAAAUUUAAAACUAAACGAGGCUUAGUACUAUAUGUAUGUGUUUAAAUAUUUGAUGUGACGGACUGUAAACUUUAACUCGUGAACUAUUCUUUCUUUUUCCUGACCGUUUUCUGGUCACCGCCGCAUCUACCUAUGGUUGACUUGCGGAGAUUUCUGGCUCUACGGCCGGGUGCAGAUAGGACUUUUUUUUUAUUUCGGAAAUCAGGUGGUGCACUUUAUUGAACAAGCAUCUGUCAUUGGCCUACCAAAUCCUUCGAAGACAUAACUCGGGCCCGUUUGGAUGGUAUAGCCUGGUAGCAUUCCUAAAGGAGUACACCUCCAUUCUAUAUACUGUUCAUUUGUUGGGAAGAUUUAAGUAUAUCCUUUCCUCUCUAAAGUUUCCUCAUCCAUGCAUUGUUUAGUUCCAAAAAAAAUUCAAAAUUCUCCGUCACAUCGAAUCUUGCGACACAUGCAUAGAGUAUUAAAUUAAGAUGAAACAAAAACUAAUUACACAGUUUGCCUGUAAAUCGCAAGAUGAAUCUUUUGACACUAAUUAGUCUAUGAUUAGACAAUAUUUGCAACAAACAAACGAAAAUGCUACAAUACCCAAAAUCCAAAUUUUUUGCCAACUAAACAAGGGCCUUGUUUAGUUCCGAAAAAAUUUCGAAUUUCGGCACUGUAGUAUUUUCAUUUUUAUUCGACAAAUAUUAUCUAAUCAUGGACUAACUAGGCUCAAAAUAUUCAUCUUAUGAUUUACAGAUAAACUAUAAAAUUAGUUUUUUUAUUUUUGUCUAUAUCUAAUGCUUCUACAUAUGCUCUAAGAUUUAAUGUGACGGAGAAUCUUGAAAAAAUUUUAGUUUUCGAGAUGAACUAAACAAGGCCAAGGCCUUUGAAGGAAACAUCUAUUCUAUGACAUGACGCUCUAUGACAUGACGCGUUGUUGUUUGAGGUACCAACUAUUGUCUUGCAGUUAUAUGUGGGUCUUGUUUAGUUCCAAAAAAUUUUGCAAAAUUUUUCAGAUUUUCCAUCACAUCGAAUCUUUAGACUCAUGCAUGAAGUAUUAAAUAUAGACGAAAAUAAAAACUAAUUACACAAUUUGGUCGAAAUUGUCGAGACGAAUCUUUUGAAUCUAGUUAGUCUAUAAUUAAACAAUAUUUAUGAAAUACAAACGAAAUUGCUACUAUUCUUAUUUUAGAAAAAAAAAAUGGAAAGCGUGGCACCGCUCCCUCUCGAACUCUCUCGUCGUGCUACAGUAGAGGGAAAAGCGAGCAUUCCAGUCUCCGCUGCAGGAGCCGGCAGUCUUCCUUGUGCCUCCGAUGGCCUUCAGGCUUCUACGAGGUGGUGGAGACCACUGGUCUCUUGCCGGUCGGAGACGGCGGCGGUGGUGACAUUAGGAUUAAGGUCAUCUCAGGCCCUAUUUAGUUUUCUACCUAAAAUUUUUUCAUUCAUCCCAUCGAAUCUUUGAACAUAUACAUGGAACGUUAAAUAUAGAUAAAAAAAAUAAACUAAUUACACAGUUUGGUUGAAAAUCGCGAGACGAAUCUUUUAAGCCUAGUUAGUCUUUGAUUAGCCUUAAGUGCUACAGUAACCCAUAUGUACUAAUGACAGAUUAAUUAUACUUAAUAGAUUUGUCCUGAGUUUCCAGACGAGCUAUGUAAUUUGUUUUUUUAUUAAUUUUUAAAAAUCCCUCCUGAGAUUCUUUCAACACAUCCGAUGUGACAUCAAAAGCGGUGUUCUACUCGGGUGCCGUCAACGAGGGCGUGGAGGAGGGUUUCCUUUGUGGAUCCCUGUACAUUUUUUUUGCCAUGCACAUAUUUUCCUUUGUGGAUACCAUCGGUGACAAAGGAGGCAAGAGUAGGAAACACAUUUUUUUUAUUCACAUCACUUGUGUUCUUGCCAUGCACCAUCCUCAGACUAUCUCCAACAAUCAUCACCCAAGACCCAUUUGUUCUUUGGGUAGCGCUACAGGUAAAAGGUUCGAUACUUAUUUUUAGUCUUCUCCAACAACAAGACUGAAAAGACAACACUCUCUGCAAAUAGGUCUCGAGGAGAGAGGAUAUCCAAAUUUGAGUUAUGCCUCUCCUGAUACCUAAAAUGGAUCUUCUGUAUGGGUACUCUAUUGGAGGCUGCUAUAAGUGGUUCUCAAAUGAGUCUCCUGUUGGAGACAGCCUCAGAACUUCGAUCUAUGAUCUACGCUUCACUGUUCCAUUGUUGAAUUAAUGAUCUACCCAGGCUAAUCUCAAGCUACCAAGUUUAGCAAAACAUGCACGGCCCUAUUUAAAUUGAAGCUGCUAAAUUUUAACCAGAUAAACAAAUUGCUAAACUUUAACCACCCUUGUUUAGUUUGGUGAACUAAAGAGGCCUUUCAGUCCAUUUCAAUUAGAGCGUUCAGUUUAAAAGUGACUAAAAGGUGAGGUAGCCUGAGCUUUAGUCCCAAUUAGCAAUCCCUUCGUGAUGCCCAUUUAGUCCCAUUUAAUCAUAGUGUUUAGGUAAAAAGUGACUAAAUGAGAUUAAAAUUAGCCAACAAACUAAACACCCCUAAACAAAAUAAGAUUCUUGUACUAUCUCAAUCCUCCAUUCCAAGCUAAUCUUAUAAAAAAAUCUUGUGUUUCCUCAUUCCUCUAUUUUACCACUAUGUAUUUCUUUCCUAUUUCUUUAUUUUCUCAUUCCUAUAUUUCCUAUAUUUUACCACAUUUCUUUCGUAUUCCUUUAUUUUCUCUCGUUCUUUUCGAUUCAUUCCUUCCAAACAGACACAACCAGAGCCUCAAACCCAUCAAGAGGAGUCUGACAUUUUGAGAUAUGGGCAGCAUACCCAGCUGAAACAAUAGAAAAAUAGUAAUACAACCAUUUACAAAACAAUGCAAUUCUCAUCCUUCAAAAUGCAUGGAUGAGGAAACUUUCCAGAGGAAAGGAUAUACUUAAAUCUUCCAACAAAUGAACAGUAUAUAAAAUGGAGGUGUACUUCUCUUUUGGGAAUCCUACCAGGCUAUACCAUCCAAACGGGCCCGAGUUGUCUUCGAAGGAUUUGGUAGGCCAAUGGCAGAUGCUUGUUCAACAAAGUGCACCACCUGAUUUCCGAAAUAAAAAAAGUCAUAUCUGCACCCGCCUGUAGAACCAGAAACCUCCGCAAGUCAACGAUAGGUAGAUGCGGGGGCGACGAGAAAACGGUCAGGAAAAGGAAAGAACAGUUCACGAGUUAAAGUUUAUAGUCCGUCACAUUAAAUGUUUAAACAUAUGCAUACAGUACUAAGCCUUGUUUAGUUGCAAAUUUUUUUACAAAAUGUACCUGUAACACUUCUGUUUGUAUUUGACAAAUAUUGUCCAAUAAUUAACUAACUAGACUUAAAAAUUUCGUCUCGCAAAUUACAGGUAAACUGUGCAAUUAGUUAUUUUUUUAAUUUAUAUUUAAUGUUCCAUGCAUGUGCCGCAAAAUUCGAUGUGACGGCCUGAAAAAAAUUGCAAAUUUUUUUUGGAAACUAAACAAGGCCUAAACUAGAUGUAGGAUGCUAGAAACUAAUCAAACCAACCUAGAUGUAGGAUGCUAGGACCAGCCACCAGAUCCUGGUUCCCCUUCGCUCCAAUGCCAUAGGCAACGGAGAAGCUGGAGGUCACCAGAGAAGGGAGACGGCGAGCAGCAAAGCCGCUCACUAUAAGAAACAAGUCAAACAACCAUCCAGUGUUUAUUUUACAUGAAAUUGAAUCAAAUCAGAGAUACCAGAACUCUCCAUUCACGACAUAGUGAGUGAUUAUUAUGUGCAUUUCAUUUCAUUUCAUUCCAUUUACAGAAUUCACUGGAGUGUGGUUUAGCAAUAACUGAAUAGUCAACUCAAUGUAUAAUUAUAUGGCAUUAAUGCUAAACAAAAAGAAAAGCACCAAUGGCUUCCGUACCAAAGCGUAGAACUAUAUUGAGUAUAUUGAGUAUACUAUGUGUUAUGCAACUACUUAUAGGGCAUAGACAUCAUGGCAACAAAAGGAAGCCGCUAGUACUAUAAGUUACCUAUACAUUGGGGCAUUGCUAUAUCACAAGCAUCAAUGAUCACCAGUAUGCAGACAAGCCACCCCUUGCGCCACACAGCCGAGACCUUGCCCAUGCUCCCCCCCACCAAGCCAUAGUGACUCCAGCACUUUCGUCUGCUGACAGAAGUUUUGCCAUUAAAACAUGCACUUUGGGAAGGGAGUGUAAGCUUGCACCUAAAACUCAAAUUUAAGUUUAACAUCUAACCACAAUUCUGAAGUAGAUCAUACCAAGAAAGGUACCAUAUUGCACAUAAAGCUAUAACACAUUUGUUUCAAGAUCCUAGUUUAACUUCGCAAAACUUGGUGGAAAAGAACAAUAGGAUAACUAAUCUUCAACUUAUUAAUGAUGACAAGAACCUUCAUAUACACCUAUUUCCAAGAGAAGACUCAAAUUCACGAACCUGUGCUAGACAUGCUGAAAGAAUCCAACCAAUGUAUCCUUGAAUGCCAAGUUUUAGGGCAAACACACAUCCAAUAAAUAGGGAUGCAAGAUCAUUUCCCCUCUACACUAAUCCGUCUGGAAAUUCUAGAAUGUCACAUUUUUUGGGACGGACAUAGUAUUAUGGAAAAGAGUUACAUGAUGCAUUUUGGUAUCAGAAACAUAAAAAGCACAGUGGGAUAAAAACAAUUGAUUCAGAUUGUAGCAAUUCAUCAUCAUCUCAACUGUUUAUUGAGCAUCUCAAAGUUUUGAUUAUGGGUACUAGAUCAAUCGUCUCUACAACAUGAUCUAACAUCGCACUAGAUCUAGGUGUUUGAGACAAGUGCUCAUGCAAAUUAAGUAAUUAACCCAAGCCUAGUACAUAGAAUAAGUCGUUUCAACAACUACAAUGCUCAUCUGACAUUCAAGGGGAGAACAUCAGCAACUAUAUAUGUGAAUAAGAUUCCAUGUCAAAGGAUAUAGCCAUAUUUUUUUUAUUAUAAUAUACCACUGGGCACAAGGUAAGUGAUAAAAGGCAUCAUUAUUACCAAAAGAAAAAAAUAUACACUUCAUAAAAACUUGAAACUUAAAUCAGAGGUCAACUGGUCAUCAACAUAGUAAACAGAGCAAGGGAAAACAAUUAUGAUGUUGAGCCCAUCUGUGUAUGCCUAAGCUGCUUACAGAAAAGCAGGGUGUUUUUUUUUGGUGUGUGUGUGUGGGGGGGGGGGGGGAGCUGAAGCACUUUCUAGAAGGCAAACCAAACACAGCCUUAAGAAAUAAACAAGCAAAGCUAACCCUCCUUUCACACUGCUUCAUCCGCCAAGUUUCUUUACUUUAAAAAAUAAAUAAUUUCACCAAAAUUGUAAUAAUAAGGAAAACAAAUAUCAUACUUUUCAUGAUAAAUACAUUGAGCAUUGUUUGGGUGAUCAAUCUAAAUGUCUAGCGCAAUAUUAUUUGCUCAAAAGUUAAAACUGGCGCGGUGAAUUUUCCGGUCAUCGAUGGAUAUGGUACACAGUAAAUCUGAAUGAACAAAACCAAGAAUCGCCUAGAGUUUCACUUUGACAAGUACCAGAGUCAAAAAGAUUUUGCCAGACAAAACGUGAAUAUAGAAUCUUUGAUUCCACAUACCCACUAUCUUGUAGCACAGCACAAGACCCUUCAGAAAAUGAAGCAUAAGCUGGUGUCUUGCAUUCUGUCAGCACCCCGAUAUUGAAACGUUUCGCCAGCUCAUCAUGUAAUCACUGUGUCUCAUGCCUUUUUCAGAUGCCUGAUUUCAUAGACCUUGCUUGGGCAUCUCUAAAAAGGAAUGUCAUCCCAUUCAACCUGUACAUGAAGGAAGGUAGGAGGAAGGACAAUUACUUUACUUGCCGAGCCUUCACUGUUCUACAAUACAAUCUACACCUAAACAAUCAAGUAGCUUCACAGAUAACCCGGUUAUCUAUACUACCUCAGAAACUUGGCGCUACAAUCUUGCUGCUAAUAAGCUUACUGCUGCUUGGAAAAUAUCGAAAUCUAGGGCCAAAUGGAUGGAAUUCAUAGCUUGAUGAUAUACUUGGAGAAUGUACCAUUCCAGCUACAUAAAAACACUUGCACUACAGUUGAACAUACUGUUAGAAGCAGCUACAGCAUCAAGCAACUAUGACUGCAUAAAUUCAGGGUUUGCAUCUGUUUCAAACCAUCAAUGUUGAUAAUACCACAUGUCAAUACAACCACCAAAAAUAUAGAACAUCCCAGAAUAUAGGUAGAGCAAGAUCCAGCAUAAAUACUACCGUCAAACACAAAUAUAUGAUCUUUAGAAUAGAGGUACAACUAGAUAAUUUUGUCCAUAAGCAGUCAAGCUACUCUAGCUUAUAACUAGAGAUGGAGCAACCUGAAACUCCACUCAUGGCAAAGCACACAGAUGGAUAAAGCUAAAUGUAAAAAUUAAUAAAAGCAUUCCGCAAGAUACUGCUACUCCACAUUAUAGCUACUUAUUGACUAGGAAGUUCUAGUAGUAAGCCACUAAAGGAUCAAGCAUUCCAACCCGGAGAAAUACUGAUUUAACCAGCAAAUGGGCAAUCUUCAGAAUGCAGAGAGCAAUCAGAGAGACUGGAAUGACAGAUCAAUACAUAGACUGCCCAGAUGCACUGGUUCAUUUCACAGACACUCAAAAUGCCUAUCUUUACUGAGCAACCCUGGGCUGCACACUGCCAUAGCCAGUGCCAUAAUUUGAUUGCCCUUCAGCACCUCCAUUAACUGAACCGCCAAAUCCACCACCUUGUGAAGGAUCACUCCAAGCACUUGAAUAGCCAGAGUUGGCGCCCCCACUUCCAUAGCCUGCACUGUAUCCAGAUGCUCCACCAGUAGCAGGAUUGCCAGCACCAUCACUACGUCCUCCAUAAGCCCCAUAUCCUCCAUGACUAGCGUACGAUGGAUCCCCUCCAUAUCCACCAUACCCAUAGCCCUGGCUUCCAUAGCCUGCAGGUCCACCAGGAGCUUGACUACUGGGAGCAUUGCCACCACCAGAAGAGUUGUUCCAAGCACUAUAGCCAGCACUGCUACCGUACCCUCCAGUUCCAUAUGCAGAUGGAGCUUGACUGCCCCAAGGUCCUCUAUUUGAGCCUGGAGGUCCACCUUGGUAACCAGAACCAGCAGCACCUGGGUUUCCAUAAUGUCCACCAUAAGCAGCAGGAACACCUCCAUAUCCUCCAGCUCCAUAAUUUCCAUAUCCAACUGCAGGGUUAGCACCAUAUCCAUAUCCAGCUGCCCCAGCACCAUAGCCUCCUGCACCGUAGCCAGGAUAGCCACCACUGCCCUGCUGGGCCUGCCCAUACCUGCCACCAUCACUUCUACCAUCAUAGCUACCAGAGCUGGUGUUAUGGCCAUUGUUGCUCUGAUAACCCCCACUUCCCCCAGAACGCCCACCACUAGAGCCACCAGGGUUCGCCUCACGGGGCAAUGCACGCUUCACCUCAACCAGCUUCCCACCAAGAUCAUGGAAGGUCUUGUGCAGCACACGGU